rnacentral:lncRNA from 1 species
UUUUUUUUUUUGGUUAAAUGUUGUGAUAAAUUUAUAUUGUGUGUUUGGUUUGUACAUGUAUGAGUUUGGUAUAAAUUGGGUUUUAUCAUUAUUGAAAAAUUAUACUAAUUGCUUAUAUGAUCGAUUGGAUUUAUUUCAAAGUUGCAGGUUGGUAUACAUACCAAUGUGUUUACCCAGUUUUGUGUAUUUUCCCUUCCAUAUGUAAACCAAUUUUUUUCUUUAACAGAGUGUGUUUUUUUUUGUUUCAGUGUUAACCAAGAUUGUAUUCAUAAGCCAUUUAUUGAAAUAUCAAAGUAUCUUACAAAAAAUUUAACCAUUUAAUGAUCUUAAAAAAAAGUCAAAGAAAUACCAAAGUAUUUUAUCAAUAUUUUAACCAUUUAAUAAACUUAAAAAAAAACAGUCAAAGAUUACAUACCCUUAAACCAAUAUUUAAAAUUUAUGAUUUUAUCAGGUUACCAUCAAUAAAUGUAGGAAAUAUUUUUCAUAUUAUUAUUUACACCAAUUCACAUACUUAAAAUACACUAAAAUAUGUACCAUAUUUUUAUUUAUUAGGUUCUAAUUAUAUACCAUAGAUCGUCAAACUUGUAGUUCUUUACACCACCAAUUACACCAAAUAAUUUAUUAAUGCACUUAUUUUAAUAUACGUAUGUUCAUAUGUAAGAUAAUAUACCAUCAUCAUUAUGACAUUUGGUUUUUAUAUAUACCAUCAUUUAUACCAAGCUAUGUACCAGUUGUAACAAGAGUAAACCAAUUUUACAGUAAUUGAGUGUUGAUUAUUGUAGCGUCCAAACUAAUAUACUAACAUUUAAUAAUUUAAAUUUGUUGUUUUAGGUUGGUGUAAACUGCAAACAUUUGUUUUACUAUAUACACCAUUAUCAUGAUCCUUUAUUUUUACCAUAAAUUUGUUCCUAUUUACCAUAAUUUUACCAAGAAUUUGGCUUAUUUACCAAAUCAAAUCAACAGCAGAAUAUCAUCCAAUAAGUUCAUUUUUUAUCAAUAUUUCUGGAUAUGUGACAACACGUAAUCCAAAAGAGUUCAUGAUAUCUACUAUAUACAACCAUUUAUAACAACUAUGUAUUUAAAAAUAUGAAUAAGAUAACAAAAAGUAAUCGACUUUGAAAUAAGGUAAUGAAAUUAAAAAACAGUACAUCUAAUAAAAGUAAUAUAGUUCAAUUGUACAACUGCAAAGUAAAAAUAACAACAAAAAUACCACAAAGCUAAUUAUCAUGAGUUUUUUUUGGGCAAGUCUUCUUGUUAUGCCCAACUAUACCACAUUCACUACAGGUUACUUUCCUCUUCUUCCCCUCUCCUUCGGUGAAUCCCUUUUUGCGAUCAUUUUUGGAGGUCUGCCUGGUUGCUUUCUUGUAAUUGGUGGUAAUACUACCUCUUCCAAGACAUGUGAUGGAACAUCCCAAGUGCUUUCGCAGGGCAAGGGUUCAAUUGGUAUUGCAUAUGUAUCUUGAUAAUUCUUAUUACUAUAAUAAGGUGAACAAUAAUCAUCGCGAUGUUUAUUCCUAUAUCUGAUUGCUGCAAGUGCAUGACUACAAGGGAUCUCAUCAUGUUGAAAUCUGCCACAACUACACAUUCGUGUAUUCAAACAUACCGUAAACCUCUUUGCACCAUCUGUAAUGGUAUGAAGGUGUAUUGUUGAUGCGCGUACCUUCAUUUAAGAGCAUGCAUUAUAAAUAAUAAAACCAAAACAUACUAUGCAUAGUAGAUAAUUGUUAAUACUUACAAGCAUACGAUGAGACAAAUUUCUAUUGUCCUCCAACAUUUCAUUGAAUUUACUAGCCAAGGUUGUUGUAGUAUUUCUACCUUCUUCGUUGUGUUUCUCAUUCCAAGCUUCAAUUGUUUUUCUAACAAAUUCCAACAAUGGUACCACUGGUAACCUUCUUCCAACAAGAAUAGCAUUAUUUAGUGACUCUGCAAUGUUACUUGUUAGUGUCCAAGUCCUUUUUACUAGUGAAUGUGCGCGUGACCAUUUCUCAUAAUUUGCUUUUUGUAGAUAAGCACGGUAUUUUGGAUUAAUUUGAUCCAUCAUUUUCAUCAAUUCAUCAAACUCUUGAACAGUGUAAGCUUUUGCUAAACUGAAGAAUAAUGUUCUAACCUCUUCUGUAUCUCUGUAUGUUUUCUUUAGUAAAUUGGUCCAUAGAUGGUAUAUGCAUGCGUAAUGUCUGAAUUCGGGAUAAACAGCUGCAGUAGCAUUCCAAAUUCUCUUAUUUCUAUCAGAAACAAAGCACAUAUCUUCCCUUUCACCGAAUGCAUUUUUAAAAUUCUCAAAGAACCAUAACCAUGAAUCAUCAUUUUCUGAAUCAACUAUUCCGUAUGCGGCAAGAUGUGACCUAUACAACAAAUAUCUUCAAAAUAAAUACAACAUAUAUUGAUUAUAUAUAAAACAAAUCAAUCUAGUUNNNNNNNNNNNNNNNNNNNNNNNNNNNNNNNNNNNNNNNNNNNNNNNNNNNNNNNNNNNNNNNNNNNNNNNNNNNNNNNNNNNNNNNNNNNNNNNNNNNNNNNNNNNNNNNNNNNNNNNNNNNNNNNNNNNNNNNNNNNNNNNNNNNNNNNNNNNNNNNNNNNNNNNNNNNNNNNNNNNNNNNNNNNNNNNNNNNNNNNNNNNNNNNNNNNNNNNNNNNNNNNNNNNNNNNNNNNNNNNNNNNNNNNNNNNNNNNNNNNNNNNNNNNNNNNNNNNNNNNNNNNNNNNNNNNNNNNNNNNNNNNNNNNNNNNNNNNNNNNNNNNNNNNNNNNNNNNNNNNNNNNNNNNNNNNNNNNNNNNNNNNNNNNNNNNNNNNNNNNNNNNNNNNNNNNNNNNNNNNNNNNNNNNNNNNNNNNNNNNNNNNNNNNNNNNNNNNNNNNNNNNNNNNNNNNNNNNNNNNNNNNNNNNNNNNNNNNNNNNNNNNNNNNNNNNNNNNNNNNNNNNNNNNNNNNNNNNNNNNNNNNNNNNNNNNNNNNNNNNNNNNNNNNNNNNNNNNNNNNNNNNNNNNNNNNNNNNNNNNNNNNNNNNNNNNNNNNNNNNNNNNNNNNNNNNNNNNNNNNNNNNNNNNNNNNNNNNNNNNNGCUGUAAUCAAGCCUUCAUAUUUGGUGGUUGGAUCAUACAUAACUCCUUCAAUAUUGUAAUCCAUGUAAUUGCCUGUUUAAAAUAACAAAUUCUUUGUUAAUAUUAAAAGGAACUUUCAGAAUUAAUUACUACAGUAAUCAACUUAUUUAGCUUUGUUUUUACAUUGAUUUUCGUUGGUAUAUAAGCCAUUUAUUGAAAUACCAAAGUAUUUUACCAAAAUUUUAACCAUUUAAUGAUCUUAAAAAACCAGUCUAAAGAAAUACCAAAGUAUUUUAUCAAUAUUUUAACCAUGUAAUAACGUAAAAAAACAGUCAAAUAUUACAUACCCUUAAACCAAUUUUUAAAAUUUAUGAUUUUAUUAGGUUACCAUCAAUAAAUGUAGGAAAUAUUUUUCAAAUUAUUAUUUACACCAAUUCACAUACUUAAAAUACACUAAAAAUAUGUACCAUAUUUUUAUUUAUGAGGUUCUAAUUAUAUACCAUAGAUCGUCAAACUUACAGUUUUUUACACCACCAAUUACACCAAAUUAUUUAUUACUACACUCAUUUCAAUAUGCGUAUGUUCAUAUGUAAGAUAUUAUAAAUUUGACCAAACAAUACACUAAAACAUGCAUCUGGUUAUUUGUUUUGGUGUCAGUUAUUAGCGACAAUUAUACAAGAUCACAUACCUAAACAAAUAAUGAAAUACAUAUCGCAAACUUAUUGAUAUAAAAUAUUUGCUACCAUACGGCACACAUCAUACCAAUUAAACCUAAACUUUAACAAAAAACAAAUUUGACACAUCAGUGUACAGCAAAAUCAUACGAAUUUGUUGAAAUUACACCAAAAUUUCGACGAUCCCGAACAUCAACCAAAUUGUAUGAAUUAAUUUACACCAAAAUUGACAAAAUAAACAAAGGGAAUAACUACCAAAAAGUACAAAAUAGAUAUUUGUGAAAAAUCAAAUUCAACAACGUAAUAAAAAAUCAUGAGUAUUAUUUUUAAUAUAAUUACCUGAUGAGUCCCAUUGCCCGUUGUGUUGAAUUAGAAUUGAGAAAUUAUUGGUAUGCAUUUUUUUUCAAUAGUCGUUCUUUGGCCGAUUUUUUAUGUCAGAGAAAGGAGUUAUGUUUUGGUAGGAAACCUCUAUUUAUGGGAGAUAAUAUAUAGCAUAUUUGAAUAAAUUAGGGAAGGUAAAAUUAUUGGAGAAAUUUAUGGUAAUUGGGAUAAGCAUGGCUGAUUUGGAAAAUCUUUUUUUUAAAAAUUUAAAUUCUACUUUUGAAAAAAAAAGUAUUGCUAUAUAAUUGAAAAAAAAAGUAUUGCUAUGUUGGUGUAAAUACAAUUGUUAAUUUGUAUACUUAAAAAAAGCAUGGCUGAUUUGGAAAAUCUUUUUUUUAAAAAUUUAAAUUCUACUUUUGAAAAAAAAAGUAUUGCUAUAUAAUUGAAAAAAAAAGUAUUGCUAUGUUGGUGUAAAUACAGUUGUUAAUUUGUAUACUUGAAAAAUCUGCCCAUUUAUAUAUCGCUACUUACGUAUUCCCGUAUUUAGCUCUGUUACUUUCAGAUCUGAGGGUGAACUACUUUCAUUCAGACUGCCGCAAAUCUUCGUUGCUUUUGAUGUCUUCUUUUCAAACAUUGAGACUAUUUAUGUAUUCAUUUGCUAUUCUUAAACAGUUUUAGUUAGAGUUUUAGCCCAUCAACUUUCGAAUUCUAUAAAUGUUUUGUUUAGGCUUUCAUUGUUUAUUUAUUUAAUCACUUUGGAGACUUCUACUUACGUCGUUUUAUUUAUAUGUCUUGUUUAGAUAUUUAGAUAUUGCAUGAGAUAGAUGCUUAGUUUUGAUUCAUCCCAAUAGGGAUUGGUGUGAAUGUCGAUCACGUCAGCAUGAUUCGUGACAAAGUACAAUUUAUACUAAUCUUAUUAUAGCUAGAAUCAUCCUUGUACAAGUAUAAACAGGGGUACCCUUUGGCAUUUGAGCAACCCGAAAUAAACCCACAUCAAUCCAAUUCAAAGCAACUAACCUUAUUCAAGAAGUCUUCAUCUAUAACCAAGUUCCUCUAUCUAAAAUCUUUGUUCUCUUUGCAUACCUUCUCUUCUUUAGUUAAACCUUUCAAUCCUAAUGAAUGAUUUUGCACCGACAGAAGACCUCUUCAAUUAUAUUUUUCUACUGUUAUUCUCUACAUACAUUUGGAAAAAGGAAAUAAUACAGUCUAGAACUGAGAAAAAGAAUGAGGAACGAUGCAAAGCAAGAACAAGUUAAAAGAAAUAGAAAUGGUCAGACUGAAGAAGGAAGAAAUGGAAAGUGAAACUAAAUGAAGGAAGAGGGACAAAUAACUAUGAUUGAAACAGGUGCCAUCGAAACAACAUAUGAUGGAUUCACAUCCUCUUAUUUUCUUAGCUACCGUAUCUAAAGAUAAUACAUACAUAAUUAGAUUUAAUAUAUUUCCUCUAAAUAUUGUUAUUGGAGAUUCUCACAUCCCUUAGAAUUUUGGCAGCAUCCUCUGGGAAAACAGGAUUUAUGUAACAUCCCGUUGCUAUCUCGAAUCCACCAACUCCACUCAAAUGGGGAGCUAUUUGUAAAAACCAGUGUGUGGAAUGUGCAUAUGAGGGGUCAUCCUGAAAUGGGGAAGUAUGAAUCAGAAGGUUGAAUGGUGGAUUGUUCAACUGCAAAGACAUCUUCAAAAGCAUGAGUUUCAACAACCCUCCAAGAUCGACUGCCUGCAUAUUUGAACGGUAAAACAUUAGACAAGCUAUUCAACUGACUGUUUAUUGAGAAAGAAAAACAAUUUGAAAAUUAGUACGACCAAGAACAUUGUAAUCUUUUUCUUGAAUCAGUUUCCCCCUCCUCAGCCACAUAUGCUAUGAGAUUUCUUUUUUCUUUUCACUACAAUCAGCAAUUCUACUUGAAAAUGCCAAAGCCUUCACGGUCAACUUGACACAAGUCGUAAUCCAUUAAGGUUGUAAGUUUCUCAUGUAGAAUUUGCAGAUAACUGACAUUAGUAAAGUUAGACUAGUGUAAUUUCACAUCAUUUUCUCAUGAAAACAAAGCAUGGACAAACAAAGCUUCCAUUACCUUCUCACUAUCUAUUUCAUGAAAAUGAGAAGAGUGAUCACGGGGAAUUAUCCAAAUCUCAAAAGCAAAAGUUGCAGCGAAGGGGACCAGUGAUAUGAAAUGGUCUGAUUCAGCAAUUAACAAUUCAUUUGGUUGAAUAUCACACAGGCUGCAUUUUCCAGUCUGCUUGUAGUAUUCCAUCAUACUGUCCAGACGGGCAGAAACUGUUGGAGGAACAAUGGGAAGAGCAAUCAUCUGGCUGUGAGAAUGGCUCAUCGAAGCACCAGCAGAGGCUCCAUGGUUUUUGAACACCUUUAAAAGUUAGUGAGUCGAUCAAUAUUAUAUAGUGCAGUAGUCUUUGAUGGGACAAACGUGCUGACUAUGAACAAACCAUUAGUACUCAACGAGAAAGAGGAAAAAACAAUAGAUGUUGUUUCAUGCUGCAGAUCCUUUGCACAUAUUCAAAAACAACAACAACAUACCUAGUGUAAUCCCAUAGGUGGGGUCAGGGGAGGGUAGUUUGUACGUAGACCUUACUCCUACCUCGUGGAGGCAGAGAUUGUUUCCGAAAGACCCUCACCUCAUGUAACACAUAUCAAAGCAGUUUGAAAAAAAAAAUACAAAAGUAAAGAGGACAUAACAAUAAUAGGGAAGGCAUAACAUAGCAUUCAGAAGAUAAGGAACUGAUAGGGAAACAAUGAAAACUUGACUUUAUAACCACCUUGCAUCUAGAGGCUGAACAUUGGGAAAAAACAGAAAGUCACCCGAUUGCCUUACGAAACUUAACUUGGGUGAUUGUGCUGGAAUCAUCCCAACAUAAUGAUCGAAUUGGUAUGAAGAAAGAUGAAUGUGAAGACUGUCAGCUCAGCUGACAAUUGCCAGUAGGCUUUCAUACUGCUACUAAAUCUCCAUUGUGCUCACUCAUCUCUAGUUUCAUGAUAAUUAAUCAGUUCUCUUGCAUAGAUUUGGGAUGACUACCAGAUUAUCAAUAACUAACUAACUUAGGAGUGCAUAUUUUAGAGAAUUCAGCGAACAGGAAUCAAAUACGUAAUAAAUAUGAGAAGCUAACAAAGAGAACAUACCCGUUCUCAAAAAUGGAUUGUAGUUUGGAUGCUCAACUUGAUACCAAAAGUAUGCUACACUAUUUGCAAGUUUCAAGUGUUCUUUCAUUAAAUAGUUCAAAUUGACAGUCCAAUGUGAUAUUUUAGCUAUUUAUCCUAUCAAACAAACUUCAUUCAAAUACUACAUUGCUUUUCUCCUGGCACUAAAAAUACAAACUCAAAAUAAUCUACCAUGCCAAUCAACCAGUUCACAAAAAAUGGAUGGAGAGUUACGUAUCACAAGCCCCUGCUCAGAUUAGCAUAAUCUACCUCUUAAGUACUUCACCUAAAUACUUAUUAAGAAACUGCUUUAACUGUGAUGAUAUCCCUCAAGGGAUUGAUAGACAAUGAAAUUUUUAGAACUCGAAUGGAAAGUAUACAGUAACUAACCAUGAAUUGCUAUAACUUAAUCCAACAAACAUGUCUCCUCAUAAUUGGUCCAGUAUUUUAGCAAGUCAGUCUGGUCAAAAGCAAGAAGAUUGAAGCGUUUGGAAUAGACUUAUAUUUGUAAGACUGAAAGGAAAAUACAUUGUCCAACCUCUCUCCGUUAAUGUACACAGUAAAAUCAUUUAGUUUGCAUAACCAAGGGAAUACAGAAAAAUGAAAACUAGCAGAACUAAAUAGAUUAACAAAUACGGCUAAUCAAAGUUGUAAGGUUAAAAGUCAAAAUUUAAACAAAAAGAAAUUUCAUAUGAGAAAGACCAAUUAAUUCAUUACAUAACAAGAAAGUGAUUCUAAACUCUAUUUAUUAUCAAAUCAAAAGGGUAAUUUUCGAUGCAAUUACAACUAGUUUUCUAUUUUUAUGUAGUUUUUCAGUGCAUUUAUUUAAACUUCAUACAAAUACAAGGAAUGAAUAUACCAAAUCAACUAAAAAAUAGACAAAUUGAUUUCAAAACUAAUCAUGCAUUUUGAAAUGGGAUCAGAAUAAAACCUGAACAUACUUGAUAGAAUCACAACUCCGGAGCUGCUCGAUCCUCUUCUUACAAGCUAGCAGAACCUCCCCAACUUGAGCCGGAGAAAGAUCACUCAAAUUUACUGAAUGAACCGGCGAUUCAAUAACCACAUCGUGAAAUCCGAAUCCACUAACUGCUACAUCACCGACGAGCGAAACUGGAUUUUGGAAAUCCAAUUCUCUGCUGACUGCCGGAUAUAGGUUUUGGAUAACUCUGAUUUUCCAAUCGUUAGUGGAAUCUGCUGGUACACGGAAUAUCUCCGGCGCACACUCGUGCUCGUGGCCGGCGCAAAAUGGGCAUUCUGUUUGAUUGUUCGGUUGUGGGUUCGAUUUGGCCUUGAAGUCCGACGGUCGGCGCGAUCUCGCCGGAGAGAACAGUACCCACCUGUUGUGGAUUUUGUCUUUCCGGAUUUCGGGGCUCCGAUUUGGCGUUUCUGCCUCCGCCAUUUUAGUUUCGGGGUUCGAUCUAAUUUGGGGUGAGGAUUUGUACUACUGGAAAAGCUCACACUGUGACAAAUAUUCGGAUCAUUUGGCGCUGAAUUUUUUUUAUAAUUUAAAGAGAUAAUAUAUAUAAUAUUUUAUUUAAGUAUUACUAUAUAAGAAGAGUGAAUAAUUCACUCUUCUUUCGACACGUGGCACCAUGACCCACCUACUUUUAUAUUUGGUUUUUGAAGAUGGCCCACCUAUCACAAAUAUGGCCCACCUACUUUUAUACACUCCUCUUUCAUUAUAUUUUAAUUUUUUCCUUUUUAAAUAGUACUAAAAAAUAAAUUUAAAAUAUCACAAAUUCGAUCAACUCUCAAAAUUUUACGCGAAUUCUAUAAUUAAGACGAAGGGAAUAACAUAUAUUAUUUGAAAAAUUACUAUAUAAUUACUACUCUUCUUAUAUAGUAAUAUUUUAAUUUUUUCCUUUUUAAAUAGUACUAAAAAAUAAAUUUAAAAUAUUACAAAUUCGAUUAACUCUCAAAAUUUUACGCGAAUUGUAUAAUUAAGACGAAGGGAAUAACAUAUAUUAUUUGAAAAAUUACUAUAUAAUUACUACUCUUCUUAUAUAGUAAUAUUUUAAUUUUUUCCUUUUUAAAUAGUACUAAAAAAUAAAUUUAAAAUAUUACAAAUUCGAUUAACUCUCAAAAUUUUACGCGAAUUGUAUAAUUAAGACGAAGGGAAUAACAUAUAUUAUUUGAAAAAUUACUAUAUAAUUACUACUCUUCUUAUAUAGUAAUAUUUUAAUUUUUUCCUUUUUAAAUAGUACUAAAAAAUAAAUUUAAAAUAUUACAAAUUCGAUUAACUCUCAAAAUUUUACGCGAAUUCUAUAAUUAAGACGAAGGGAAUAACAUAUAUUAUUUGAAAAAUUACUAUAUAAUUACUACUCUUCUUAUAUAGUAAUAUUUUAAUUUUUUCCUUUUUAAAUAGUACUAAAAAAUAAAUUUAAAAUAUCACAAAUUCGAUUAACUCUCAAAAUUUUACGCGAAUUCUAUAAUUAAGACGAAGGGAAUAACAUAUAUUAUUUGAAAAAUUACUAUAUAAUUACUACUCUUCUUAUAUAGUAAUAUUUUAAUUUUUUCCUUUUUAAAUAGUACUAAAAAAUAAAUUUAAAAUAUCACAAAUUCGAUUAACUCUCAAAAUUUUACGCGAAUUCUAUAAUUAAGACGAAGGGAAUAACAUAUAUUAUUUGAAAAAUUACUAUAUAAUUACUACUCUUCUUAUAUAGUAAUAUUUUAAUUUUUUCCUUUUUAAAUAGUACUAAAAAAUAAAUUUAAAAUAUUACAAAUUCGAUUAACUCUCAAAAUUUUACGCGAAUUGUAUAAUUAAGACGAAGGGAAUAACAUAUAUUAUUUGAAAAAUUACAUUAAGAAUACCAUAAACCACAAUAGUUAACAACUUACAAUAUUUGAAAAACAUAUUAACUCUCAAAAUUUCACAUGUGUCACAUAAAUUGGGACAAAUGGAGUAACAUAUAUUAUUUGAAAUUACGUUAAGAAUAUUAUUAAUCACAACUUAAAGUAUUUAAAAAUACAUAACAUAUAUUAUUUGAAAAUAAUGUAAAAAAUAUUAUAAAUCAUAAUAAUUAACAAUUUAACGGAUAUUGUGCCCGUGCUUCCAUUUAGAAGUGAGAAUGUUUAGGAGCUUAGGGUUAGUCAGUCAAUUGACCGAUUUGCCCUUCUUCUUCAACUUCCUCUAUUUACUACAAAAAUAGUACUAAAAAUCAAUUUAAAAUAUUAAAAUUUUGGUUAAUUCUUGAAAUUUCACAUGUAUUGCAUAAUAUAAUAGAGUAGUAACAUAUAUUAUUUGAAAAUUAUAUAAAUAGUACUAAAAUAUAGUUUAAAAUAGUACUAAGAAUUUGAUUAACUCUCGAAAUUUCAUAUGUACUGCGUAAUUGAGAUUGAGUGAGAAAUAUAUAUUAUUUGAAAAAUAGAAUAAAUAUGUGAUAUUAUUAGAAAGAGCUUUAAUAUAUAUUUUAAAAAUUAUUUUGUCUUCCGUAUAUGAUUUUCUGCAUAUAUGUGGAGUUUUAAAGUUUUUAACAUUUUAAUAUAGAAAUAUGAUUAUUUGAAAAUUUUAGUACUUUCUUCAUUUAAAUUUUUCCUUGUUUUUCUUUUAAUUUGUUCUAGAUUUAAAAAUUACAUAAAAAGUACUUAAAAUCACAAUGUAAUAAUAUAAGAUAUUAAAAAAACAUAAUUAAAAAUCAUAAAAGAAAUUUUAUUGACUCUUUAAUUCCAUAUUGAAACAUAAGAAGUUUGUUUGAAAAUAACAUAAAAAGUAACGUAAAUUAAAGUAAAAUAACAACUAAAAAUAUUGAAGAAUCAUAUAAGAAAUUUAGUUGACUUUCGUAAAAGUACCUACGUCACAUAAAAUGGAACAGAAAGAGUAAUAUAUAUUAUUUGAAAAUGAUAUAAGAAGUGCUAUAACUCACAAUAAUUAACAACUACAAAAUAUAUUUAACAAAAUCACAUACAAAAAAUUAUAUAACUCUCCAAAUUUCAUCGGUGUCACAUAAAUUGAAACAAAGAACUACUCCCAAUUUAUGUUAUUUACUUUCCUUUUUAGUCAGUCCCAAAAGAAUGUCACAUUUCUAUAUUAAGUAACAAUUUGAUUAUAAAAUAUUUAUUUUACCCUUACUGAAAUAAUUUACAGUCAUACAAAUUUAUAUCAUUCAUUUUGGACCACAAAUUUUAAAAGUCUUCAUUUCUUUUUUAAACUCCGUGGCGAAUCAAACUACCUCACAUAAAAUGAGACGGAGGAAGUAAUAUACAUUGGGCCCGCGCUGGCGCGGGAACCUAAUAACUAGUUAAAUUGAUACAAACGAAUAAUUUAAAGUUUUUCUUUUUUUUUUUGCUAUUAAUCUUAUUAUAUUUUAUGUUCUCUUCUUCUUUUUUUCUUCAAGUUUCUCCCAGAUUAUUUAUAUAAGGUGAAAAUAGAUUUUAAAAAAAAUGAUCAAGUUAGCUGGAGACACAUGAAAAAAUAAAUAUGCAAUAGUAAAAUAUCGUAGGAAAUGAGUUUACUUCACUUCGGAAAAUAAGACCGGAUAGGGAUAUAGCAUCUAAAGAAAGAUUAGAUAGAUGAGAUUAGUAAUUAAAAGAUUUGCUCCAAAAAUAAUGCUAAAUGUUAUUUUUUUAUAAUUUAAUUCUAUUCAUUCAAUAUAUUAACAGGGAAAUGAUUCUCGGUCAUUACAUCCCGAUGAUAAUUCACUCCUAUAAAAUGAGCUAAACGUUCAUAUUGAAAGGGGUCCCAUUCUAAACUUUACAACUAGCUCAGACUACUUGCUAAAUAUCAAGAUUCUGUUGUAAAUAAUUUAUUUGUGGAUGUCAAGUGAUAACAUCACCUUGCUACAAUAGCAAUAUGUAUUUGUGGAUGUUAGGUAUUAACAUCAAUUACUUGCUAGUUGCUACUAUAGCAAUAUUGUAAAUUUUGAGUCGUGGAUCGCCAAUGUGGACUGAUCCGAUCCGAAAUUAUUGUCUAUAAAUGGAUAAGUGUUAAUUUUAAAUAGGGGUGGAACAAUUACAUAGUAACUACUCCAACGUAAACAAUCCCUUUUUUAAUACUCCCUCUGUCCCUAAUUACUUGUCCACUUUUCCUUUUUUAGUUGUCCCAAAUUACUUGUCCAUUUUGACAAAUCAAGAAAGGACAAUUUUUUUACCUAUUAUAAACUCACUUAAUUACUUUGAAAAAUGUAGAACUUCUUGAAAAAUUGAAGUUUUUAAUCCAUCCACUUCAUAAUUAAUAGGGGUAAAAUGGUAAACUUACUAUGUUAAUUAUUGUUUUCUUAAUAGGUGUGUCAAUUUAAAAGCGGACAAGUAAUUAGGGACAGAGGGAGUAUACAUUUUACGCUUUUCAGAAAAGAGAUUGAUAACAAAAAUAAAACAUAAGACUCAACAAAUAGGUGACAUCUUCUUCUAAGAAAAAUGCAUCCAACAAAAGGGGCAUUUAGUUUAUAAAUCAUUAUCUUUGUUUCCUAGUGAUACAAAGACGGAUCUGGAGCAAGUCAUUUAGUUCGUGAAAUUCAUUUUAUUGCAAUUAGAGGCGAAUCUAGGAUUUCAAGAAAAUGGGUACAUCAUUGAUUUAAAGAUAAGAUCUAAAAAUUUAUAAUAACAAUAACUAAGCGAGUAAAAGAUAAAAAAAAAAUUACAUUACCACAAAAUAUAUCAUCAGUUUCCAAUUGUACUCGGCGAGACUUCAUAUUUUGAAAACGAUCUUUAAUAACAUCAUUACUUACAUUUUCAAAUAUCUUAUGCUCUAUCUUACAAACUAAACAACCAUUCAAAAAAUUCUUCACCAAUGUUACUACGUAGAUAAUUUUUUAUGAGCUUCAUAGAGGAGAAUGCUCUUUCCGCACUUGCAGUAGCGACAUGCAAAAUCAAAGUCAACUUUACAAGUAAAUAAACAAGAGAUCAAGUUUGAUCCAAUUUAGUUUGUGUCAUCAUCAUAGCAAGAUCCUUAAUCCCCUUCAAGUUGAGAAAUUUGCUAUCACACUCUCGAGUCUAGACAAUGAAACUAUCAAGCUGAUAACUUAGAUCUCGAAGUUGAUUAUCACCAAACUCACUUUUGUAAUAUUCGGCCAACUUCAUCAUUCUGCUCUUACUGAAAUUGGCGAAUGAAUCAAAAUCGAAUUCAAACUAUCCAUGCCAAGGAGUAAGUCACUAGUCACAACAUUAAAAUGAUUAUUGAGCUCCUGAAGUUGCAAAUCAAUAAUUGCAUAAAACACUUCCACACGAAAGAGAUGUAAAUAUGAAACCUUUGACUUCUUACGCUUCAAUCUUGGAUAGUCUUCAUUCAUUUCGGGAAUCAAAAUAUCAUGUUUACCACAAAAUGAAUAAACCCCAUCCAUCAAAGACUCCAAACCACUCUCUCUCAUUAUUUGUAAUCUUCUCUUUGAAAGAUUAAGCAAUCCCAUAACAUUGACGAUAUCUAGAUCUUUCUUUUGUAAAGCUUUUCUCAAUUCAUUUGUAAGAAGCAAUAUCAAAUGCACACAAAGAUAUAUAGAUUUAAAUUCUUGAAUUUUAUCUAAAAGAUUACUUGUUGCAAGUUUAUCAAGAUCACGUGGAGAAUCUUCUUUCAUAUCUUUAAGCACAUUAGCAAUUGAAGAAAAUAUAAUCAUGAAAUUUCACAAGGUCUUGAAAUGGGAUCCCAACGAGUAUCACCCGGUCGAUGAAGGCCACAUUCUUGAUUUAAUCCUUGCCUGCCUAGUAAGAAUUUCUCCAGAUUUAAGCAAUUCGUCCAACUUCUCAACUUGGUGUUGUUAAAUCCGUCAGUUCACUUCUAUUCUGACCUAUUAACAAGCUCCAGCGACUUGCUUUUUGGGUUUCACGCGUGUCCUUCCCCUCUUGCCACUGCUAUUGCAAAUGAAGAGCUUUCUUCCCACUAACAAUUACCAAAGGAGGAAAAAUGGCACUCCAUUUUUCCCUUUUCGAUUUGGUGCUUCUUCUUCUUUGUUUUUUCUUUUCUGAAUUUGAUCAUACUCAUAGUACCGUAUAAUAUUUUGCUACAUUUUCUAUAUGCAUGUAUUACUUUUUUUUUUAUCCAAUUGCCAUAAUUUUGGGGGAAGAUUGAUGAACCCAAGGUGUUCGAUGAUAUGCCUGGAACAACUAAAUAAUUCUGUAAGAUUCUUUGCAAUAUCCUGAACAAACGAAAUAUUGAUGAGUCUUGUCGCUCAUCCCUCUAAAUUAGUUUCCCUGCUUUUGCUUUUGGGUACUCCAGAUGUAGAUUUUUAUUUGAAAAUUAACCGUUUUAGUUUCAAGGUUAUUGAAAUUUGAAGGGAUAAGACAUAAGUAUCCCCUAGACUAUGAUCGAAAUCUCAAAAACACACAUUAACUAAACUAAGGUCCUAUUACCCCUGAACUUAUUUUUUUUGUAAUUUUAUACACAUUUUAUCUUACGUGGCACACUCAGUAACUCCACGCAAUUGACGCGAGUGGAGAUAUUUGGAUGUCACGUAAGCCAAAAAGGUGCACAAAAUUACAAAAAAAUGGAUUCAGGGGUAAUAGAACUUAGUUUAAUUAAAAUGUGUCUUUAGGAUUUCGGUCAUAGUAUAGGAGAUACUUGUACAUUUUCAAUGAACGUGUUCUCGGUUUUAAUAGGUUCCUGCACAAACCAGCUUUGAUCACAGAAGAAGAUAAGAAACCGGACAGAGUCGCUGCUGAGCCAUGGAGACUAUGUACAGUUCAACAAGUAGAAGAUCUCAAAAUCCUGAUAAAGUUUUUUCCAAUAUGGACUACUAGUUUAGUUCCUCUUCUUGGAACCCAUCGUCUCCAAUUACCUGUGACUCCACUCUCAGCAAUACACCUAAAUGUUAUGGCCAACUAAAUCAAAACUUAUAGUUGAAAUCAAAAUCUAGAAAUUACAGUGGAAUAACCCCACAAUGAUGAAUACACAAACAAAGAAACAAUUACAAGAACAGUCCAUCACAGGAGUACACAAUUAUUUAUAUUUCGAUAAAUUGAAGAUCCCUAGGCUUUACUACAAUACUAUUUAUUUAAAAAUAGGGAUAAGAGUCUGAAAAAUACCCCAACUUUGGUCGGAUUUGUUGUUGUGAUACUAAACUUUCAUGAGGACCUAUUACCUCCCUAGACUAUUUAAUAUCGUAUUUUAAACAUAUAUAUAUGCCCACGUGGAUAUAAAAAAUAAUGCAAAAUUAUAAAUAAUAAUGUGUCCACGUGGGCACAUAUAUACCUUUAAAAUACACUAUUAAAUAGUUCAGGGGGUAAAAAAUACGAUAUUAAAUAGUCUAGGGAGGUAAUAGGUCCUCAUGAAAGUUUAGUAUCGCAACAUCAAAUCCGACCAAAGUUGGGGUUAUUUUCAGACCCUUAUCCCUUAGUUUUACAUUGGUUUAGACAAUUAAAAUACAUAAUCUAAUUUUAAUUUUCUUUAGAGAUGUUUUUCAGACCCUUAUCCCUUAAAAAUAUUAGUCAUACUUGGAUUGACUUUUCUGUUAUUUUUGUUAUUUAGGCUACACUGCAUUUAACAAAGUUUGACGAAGCAACUUUGUGUAGAUUUUUGAGAAGUCAUCUGCUUGAUUUUCAAUGUACAUGUCAAUGUUUUUUUGGCUGAUUUAGUCAUGGGUUCGAUUUGACAGUAAUUAGCUGAUCGAAAAUAAGUAUGGGUGGAACCGAUUGGAGUAUUCAUGUAUGGCAAGGUGAAAGAAAUCCUGCCUCUCAUUACUUGUGUAUUUCUAAUUCAGAAACAAAACUUCCAACCUUUAGCAUUAACUGGAGUAAUAGUGUAAGUUUGAUUGCCCUUUCAUUACCAUACCAUCUUGCUUUUCUUGGCCUGCUAUGAGAGCAUAUAUCGCAGGGUGAAACAAACUUCACCUCUCAUUUAUUUUUACUAUUUUUCUAAUUCAGGAACAAGACUUGUAACAUUUAGCUUUAACUAGAGUGAUAUUUUCGUGCAUGUGAGCACAAUGCAGUUUCAAGAUCCAAUACUCUAAAUCAAGUAAUCGAAAGCUGGUAAAGAUUACCUUAAAUAUUUAUGAAUGUUCUAUUUUAUGAUAUCCUAAUGUGAAAUGUUAAUUAGUACAGCUUGAGUUGUUUUGCAACUAUCUCCUAAGAUUUGCAUCAUUCGGUUAGCAACCUGUUAUUUGGCAUAUGCUUUGGCAAUUCCCCAGUGGACAUUAUGGAACAAAUUGCCACUACAAUGGGAGCAACACACUGAAAAUUCAAUGGUGAAUCAUUCCAGAUUGACCACUAAAAGGAACAAGAUAUAGCCUUCAAACAAGAAGUUUGUAGUACUGCUUCCACAACCAUGGGCUUACUCGAAAAAACAAAAAAGACUGAUAUGUUUUAGCCUUUCUAGCAAGCUCCCAGCAUAAUGUUCUGCAGUUCUUGCAAACUAAAUGUAACAUACUUGUAAUGACCGGGUUCCGUCGUUAUGGAAAAGCCAACGGGGAAAAAUUUUGGGCCGAAAAACUUUUUCGUAGUAACUUGGAAUUUUUCAACCUAGUCCAGAUUUGGACGAAAUCGGAGUCAUUAAGGUGUAGGGAAAUAUGGUAGCAAUUGGGCGAUCUAAUUAUGAUUUUGAUUACAUGAGUAGUUAGAUAAGUCGUUAAGGAAUUCGUACGACUUUACGAAAUUAAAUUCGGGUGAGUAGAACUCCUGGAAUCGAUCUUAGUGUGAAUGGUAAUUUUUUGAACGUCAUUGGUUAAGGGUGUGUUGUGAAAUGGGGGUCUUGGAAUUAUUAAAAUAACUCACUGUUUCGUGCAAGCCGCUUUGGCGGUGGUUUUGGUCGCUGUGGCGGGCCAGACAUGACUUAAGGUCGUAAAUAAACCCGAAAACGUCUUUAUUCUGUACUUUUUUAUUUUUAGAGCUAAGAAACGAACCCCACGCGAUUCUUGACAGUUUCCACCUGUCUAGCCCCGAGAUGCGGAGAUGGGACCUAGGACCACAAGUGAUCCCAAGCUAACCCUACUGGCAUGAUCAUGAGCAUACUAAAGAUAAGUUGAAUAAUAAACUGACACUGAAGCUAUAAUCAUAAAUAAAAUGGAAAAAAUGGGGAAUACCAAUAUACUAUAACUGAGAUAUAUGAAAACUGAUGCGUUUAAUACAAAGAAGAUAUUAACUCAAUUCUAAGUUGAAUCCAACUAUGUCUGAAAUAAGCCUCUAAACUGUAGAAAUGUUGGGACAUGCCCCAACUAGAUCUAGCAAAACUGAAACUAAAGGACUAAAAGUACUGAAAAUAUAAACAUGUCACUGGUCCUCGAAGAAUGAGGACUCACCACUGAUAUGCUAUUGAACUGACGAUCAGGAAGUGAUCUAAGCGUGAUUUGAAUGCUGAGAACCUGAACCUACAUCACGAAAAGAUGUAGUGCAGAGUAUGCGUCAGUACUUGAAAGGUACUGAGCAUGCAGGAUAGAAUAAAGUUGAAAUAACUUAUAACUGAACAAAGCAAAUAAGCAAUGAUAUAAGCCCCAAUUUAUAACUGAGCUAACUGAAUGCAGUGACCAAUUUAUAACAUGUUGAAAUUGAAUAUUGGAUAUACUGAUAAAUGGUCAAUGCAAUAGAAUCUGACUGAACUGUGGGAGCUACUAAUAACCGAUAGUAAAACCACAUGAGCUAAAUGUGGAGUCUGAUGUAUACGCCCCAUCGAGAGGACGCAAUAUACCCUGCCAGAGGUAUAGAGGCAUGCUGGCGUGAUCACUGAAAUGAUUCCCACAGAGGGGACUUACAACCUAUGUGGCUAGUAGUUCUGUGACUAUUUGGGUACGUUGAACCCUAGUCCAAUUCGAUAUUAUGCUACUCCCAAUGGAUUAAGUAAUUAACACAUUAUGACUGAAUUUCUGUAAGUUACUGGAUAGCUCAAACUGAACAUGUAAACUCAGUAUGCAACAAUUAAACUGAUAUUGAUGCAUUAAUAACAGAGGCAUGUAUAACUGAAUAACUGAAAUAUCUUACCUAGCAUGUGUAAUUCAAGGACUAAAGAAAUACAUAGCUAGGGUUCUGGAAUUCAUGCAAUAAACUGAAUAUUAACAUACUAAUCUGAUUUGGAUCAUUCUAAUAGCUAAGAACCCAAUAAUUCUAACAUUCAAGAAACCCUAGGUCUAGUCAUAAUAAGGGAAUCAAGAAACUGACUGAAAACUAGGGACCUAAUGGGUGAAAGGGCCCACUAGUGAAAUCCCACAUACCUGGUGACUAAUUCCACGGAGAAAUCUUUUGAUUUCGGGGACGGAACUGAUGGAAACUUGUUGCAUUCUUGAACUAGGGUUCUUGACCUCUUUUAUCCUCUUACGCUCUAAGUUUCUAAGUUUUGAUUAAAGAAUUGACUUAGGUAAGUUCUAGUUAUGUUUCUAGGCUUAAACUGACUAAAACCUCAUAAUUUAGAGUCUAGACGACGUAGCUUAGGGGUUAAAUGAAAUAGUAAAAGACCAAAAGUCCCCCGACUUAACUUCUGUCGGAGUGACCGACGGACGGGACCUACGGGCCGUAGGUCAACCUAUGGUCCGUAGGUUGGGGUCGUAGGUCAAGUCUGCCCUACAGGGCUUCACUAAAACGAGCAUAACUUCUUACUCGGAGAUGGGAUUUUAGCAAACUCGGUGGCGUUGGAAAGAGAAUUCAAUUAUCUAUCAUAUAGUAGGUCAUGGGACACCUAAUUCCUUUUUUAAUAAGAAUGAUGACCAUUUGAAGUUGACCCAAUCAAAAAUUCCCCCCUAACUGGCUACUGACCUUCACCAACGAUCAGACCUACGGACGGUGGAUCAAAUGACAGUCCGUGUUGGUCGUCAGCGUCAGAGGCUGGGUAAAGGGGGCCUCGAUCCAUGGACACAGACCACGGACCAUAGUCUAUCCUACAGACCAUGGGUCUAUCCGUGGAUCGAGACUUAGCCGAAUUUUCUAAGUUGGGUUUGGGGAGGGGUUGCAGUGGUGAACCAUGGACCCACAGCACGGGCCGUGGGUCAGACCACGGUCCGUGGGUGGCGACCGUAGGUUGCACCUGCAAAUUCUGAAAAUCUGAAAUUUGGUAUGCUUUCAGAUAAGGGGUGUUACACCACCAUUCUUGAGGCUGAAGAUAAGAUUUUAACUCCCCGAAUCCGUUUUCGAUCCGUAGAAUGUAAUAUAAUGGGUAAUUAUCGAUGGGAAAUGGUUUUGAUCUAAAAACUAUGGUGUAAAAAGCUCUAAUUUGGAUACUUGGGAUCAUGGGUAUGGCCUAAGGUUGAUAAUGUUGAUUAUAAUCCGGGUAAUUAGGCCUCGUUUAUUGAUCUUUGCGUUAAUUAUAUGUUUUUAGACCACGAACAAGCGGAAAGAAUCCGGAAAGGGAAGAUUCAAGUGCCUUAGGGGAUUCAAGCUUGGAUUCGAGGUAGGUGAUGGUUGUGAUUUCAUGAUUGUGUGAUAUAUGUUUGUUCUUGCUUCAUUAUAAUACGUGUACAUAUGCGAAUGUUGCACUAUUGAUCACACUACUUGUGGAUGAGGAUAGAUGAAUGAUGAACACCAUGAAUCAUGACUUGAUUGUAUGAUUUUGAGAAUAUACUUGUGAUUGUGAUUGAGGCUUGUUGAAUGGAUCGGGUGUUGCAUUCCGACAAUCUAACUUGGAUCGGUUGCUACGUUCGGGCAUAAACAUUGGAUCGGUUGCCACAUUCCGACAUAAACAUGGGAUCGGUUGCCACAUUCCGUCAUAAACAUUGGAUCGGGUAUCACGUUCUGGUAUGCUAAUAGUAUGGGUAUGGUUUCCAUGAGAAGACCAUUGAUUUGACAUAAUUUUACAUCUUGAUAAAUGUGAAAUUGUUUGUUUUUCAUAAAUGAUAUUGAUAUUAUGUAUAUUCGGUGUAUGCAUGUUAUUAUAUUAUUGUAAUGACUUAUGUAUGUUGCACUUAAUGAGAUAGUCAUGUGAUUCUACUAGUACACUGUGGUUGUGUACUGAUAUUGCACUUGCUCUUUCUUUGUUGAGUACAAGGAACCUUCAUAUGGCUAUUGAUAGACCUCAAUUAGGUGACUAUUGAGGAUGACCGGAUUCAAAGGUGAGCCAAUUCUUUCAGGCUUCCAUGAAUCUUUCUUGUUUAAGUCCACUCUUUUUGGACUCCGACUUUUGUUUAAGGUGUAUUUUAGUUUCAGGGUUGUACCCCUUGUUCUUAGACUUGUCGUUAGUAGAGUUUUGGUCCAAUGACUUUCAGGUUCUAGGGGUUGUUCUUCCGCAUUAGUUUGGUUAGUUGUUUGUUAAAACCUUGGAGUUUAUGGGGACUCCAUUUUUAUUGACAUCUAAACCUGCUUCCUUAUCUUUAAAUGCCUUAGUGUUCAUAAAAUUUGUUAGUUGAGCUAUAGUUUUGGUUCUCCCACCGGAGGGUUAGUGUGGGUGUUACUCACGACGGUCUGGAUCGUGACAAAGUUAGUAUCAGAGCCCUAGGUUUGUUGAUCUCAUUGUACCAAAACGAGUCUAAUAGAGUCUUGUGGAACGGUACGAUGACGUCCGUACUUUUCUUUGAGAGGCUAUAGGACUUUAGGAAAAAACUUACUUAUUUCUACUCCUUCGUGCUAUGACUUGAAACCAAUUGGUAUCUGGGUGAUACAAAUUGGUAUCUUUCCUCCUUCACUCUAUGGUCUGAACUAGAGCAAUAAAAGUGGUAACACCAUCACUAGCAAGAAAGGAUGUGUAUAGACUACCGACAGUUGAAUAGGGUCAUCAUUCAGAACAAGUAUCAUUUACCUCGAAUAGAUGAUGUUUUUGACCAAUUGCAAGGUGCAUAAGUUUUUCUCUAAUAUUGAUUUAAGGUAUGGUUACCUUCAGUUAAAGAUUGAGGCGGUUAAGAAUUGGGUUCGACCAAGUUCUAUGAUUGAAAUUAGCAGUUUAUAGGGCUCGCUAGCUACUAUUGUCGCUUGUGGUAUGAGUUGAGUCCAAUUGGUAUCUCCCGAUUCCAAUUGGUAUCUCAACGAAGUGAACUAGAUGUCGUAGUUCCGACUGAAGGGACACAAGAAAAUUAAUUGGAACUGAGAAGGUUCCAAUUGGUAUCUGGCCUUAGGGGCCAUAUAAGGCAUAGAUGAUCAGUAAUGGUCGUCUAUUGAACGAACUAAUUAAAUAAUUUGGACUUAUCUGCAGGUUGUAACUACUUGAGUAUCGUGGAACUUGUUGUGAAAAGAAGGUCACAACUAAGUUCGAUGCAAGGGUCUAGAUAAUGUACAAUGUGAUUCGUAAGAAAGAUCUGGACGUGUCUUGCGCUUGAGUAAUAACCGCGUGAGUGUCUGGGUGUAUCCUGGGAUGUGUGGGUUAUGGUGUUGAAUUAAUGAGAAUGAGUUGGAUUGACUCGGGGUAGACAAUGAUUAUCCUAGUUCAGAGGAUUAUCCUAAAUUGCUCAGUAAAUCUGAAACCCGUUGGAAGAGUUAGAAAAGAGAAAAAACCCCAGAAAAAUUUAUUGCUUGGGUACUGUUUCCGUCGGAGCCUCUAGGGCGGGAUCUUUCCGCCAGAGCGGAAAUUCCCCGCCAGAAUGGGACAAGGCGAGACAGAACCUCAGCUCUGUCUCCUCUGUUUUUCCCAGGUCUCCUUAUAGAACUUAAAUCGAAUUCGAACUAACCCCCGCGAUCUAAUUCAGUGUUCAACAAUCUAAUAUAAGUUAUAAAGUGUGUUAAAAUUGUGGAGAACUUGGGCAUAUGAAGAGGAAAUCAGCGAGGUCGUGGAGGCCAGGGAAAUGGUAAUACUGGCAGAUGAGUAGUGCAGCCAGGCGAGGAGGUUGCCCGUCAAGAUAACAGGGCUCAAUUAUAUGCUUACCGAGUUUGAGGUGUGUGAUGCAGUGGUCACUAGUGCUACUCUUGUCUGUGCCCGGAUGACUAUUGUUUUGUUUGAUCCAGGUUCUACUUAUUCGUAUGUGUUAGUUCAAUUGCCUUGGGAUUUAAUGUGGUUUGUGAUAUACUUGAUGCCCCCAUCCAUGUUUCUACCCCAGUUGAAGAGUCAGUCAUAGUCACACAUGUACAUCAUGUUGUCCUGUUGUGUUUAUGGAUUUUCAGAUUUGGGUUGGUUUGGUUAUGUUGGAUAUGACUGACUUGAUAUAAUCUUAGGCAUGACUUGGUUGUCCCCCUAUUAUACCGGGCUUAAUCGUAAUACUAAGUCGUUAAAUCUAGAGAUCCCCGAUAGGGAAAGAUUAGAGUGGGAAGGGGUGUACAAGCCUAAGUCAGCUAAGGUCAUAUCGUUCAUGCGGGUUAGGAAACUGGUGGGGCGGGAUUGUUUGGCGUAAUUGGCUCAUAUUCCGGAUGUUGAGGUUGAGUCUCCUUCUAAUUGAAUCUAUUUCCUGUGGUGUUAGAAUUUAGAGAAGUGUUUCUUACUGAUUUGUCUGGUAUGCCUCCGAAUAGAGAUAUAGAUUUCUACAUUGACUUGGAACCUGAUACUCGUUCCAUUUCCAUCUCACUGUAUCGUAUGGCUCCGGCAGAAUUAAGAGAGCUUAAGGCUCAUAUCCAAGAGCUUCUGGAUAAAGGUUUCAUCCGUCCUAGUGCUUCCACGUAGGGUGCUCAUGUCUUGUUUGUUAAGAAGAAUGAGGGUAGUAUGAGGUCUGGUGAUUUUAUCUUAAGCCAUAAAUGAGUGGAUUGAUACCGAAACGACAAGCUUAUGGAUAAAGAAAGUCCCAUUGAGUAUACUUGGGUGAAGAAAAUUUAAGAUUUUAGUAGGAAAGUGAGUAUAAAGAUUUUAGUAGGAAAGUGAGUAUAAAAAUCUUCAAGGUACAAGCUAAUGUUGAUAGAGAAAGGGAUUGUGUUAUAUGGUGGAAAUUACAAUUUAGAUUUUUCAUUGUGAGUCUACAUUCGUGGUGAUGUAUUUUGUCAAGGUAUGAAUUGGCAAGGUGAGAAAUGAUCAAUUGUAUCCGGUAUUAAGCAUUUGAAAGGACUUACACCUGGGGUGAGUCGUAAGUUUACUACUAUUGAUUGUUAAGUACCUAAGAAAGGUUUCAUUUUUUAAAAAUUAUUGGUUUAUAAUAAGGUAAAAGGUCGGAGUGUUUAUGAUGGUUGUUAGUGUUGUGAGUAUGAUUCACUAGCUAUGCUCUAGUGUGUUUUCACUUUUGUGGGUGGAUCCCUAGUAGUGGAUCAGGGGUACCAAAUCCUGCGAUGUUCUCUUGGUUGAGUGGGAAGAUUGGGAAGAUUUGGUUAUUUUGAAUGACAUAAUUGGUGUUGUCUUAGAGUUGUUAAAGUAGUUUAGUGAUUCUACAUGUACCACCUUGCUUAUGAGAAUUUAUAGAAGAGCUACCAUGCAUAUUUGUGGUUGUCCGGCAAUUUUAAUAUUUCUCUAGUCGUCGAGGUCAUGUAUCAAUUAUGUGUGGUUGAAUGUGGGGAUCAUUGGGUCCAAUUCUACUAUUCUUAAGAGGUAAUCUACAAUUACUAAAUCUAGCAUUUCGAUAGUGUUGAUUGAAGGGUUGUAUGCUUGGACAUAUCCCUCGAUGAGUAUCUGAUUUCUAAAGAUCAAAUUUGUUAUAACUUAAGUUCAUGGGAAUUUAUGUUGUGGGAUAGAGAUAUUGUUAAGAACUAUGAUUGUUUGAGUAUUAUGAGUGUGUGUUGGUUGAUUCAGGUUCACUUCUAUUUGUAGCGAGUAUUGACUUGGAAUUUUAUCAUACUUAAGUGCUAAAUGAUUCGUUCGGAUGAUUGUGAAAAGGUCCUUGAUAACAUAUUGUAGACGUGUGUACGAUCAACUUUGGUGGUUGUUGGGAAUCACUUUUGUUGUAGUUAAGUUUACAUACAACAAUAUUUAUCACUCGAGUAUUGAGAUGACUUCAUUGAGGCAUUGUAUGAGAGGAUGUGUAGGUGUUCAAUUGGUUGGUUUGAGGCUGAAGAUGUAAAACCUUUGGGAGUUGAUUUGGUGAAGGAUGCUCAGGAUAAGGUGAGAAGUAUCCAAGCUAAACUUCUAGCAUCCGAGAGUCGACGAAAAAAGCAUACGGGACAAGUAUCCCCAGUGAUUCGACGAUUCAGAUACUACUCUACUCUUACUUUAGCCAGUCUUUCCUAGUUGAUUACUCGGGGACGAGUGAUGGGUAAAUUGAUAUCUAUUGUAAUGACCGAGUUCCAUCGUAAUGAAAAACCCAACGGGGAAAAAAAUUGGGCCAAAAGACUUUUUCGUAGUAACUUGGAAUUUUCCAACCCAAUCUAGAUUUGGACGAAAUUGGAGUCAUUAAGGUGUAGGGAAAUCUGGUAGCAAUUGAGCGAUCUAAUUAUGAUUUUGAUUACAUGAGUAGUUAGAUAAGUCGUUAAAGAAUCCGUAUGACUUUACGAAAUUGAAUUCGGGUGAGUAGAACUCCCGGAAUCGAUCUUAGCGUGAACGGUAUUUUUCUAAGCGUAGUUAGUUAAAGGUGUGUUGUGAAAUGGGGGUCUUGUAAUUAUUAAAAUAGCUCACUGUUUCGUGCAAGCCACUUUGGCGGUGGUUUUGGUCGCUCUGGCGGGGCCGCUGUAGCGGGGUGAGGGACGCUGUGGCAAGCCAGACGCGACUUAAGGUCGUAAAUAAACCACAAAACGUCUUUAUUCUGCACUUUUUGUUUUUUAGAGCUAAGGAACGAACCCCAGGCGAUUCUUGACAGUUUUCCACCAUUCUUGAGGCUAAAGGUAAGAUUUUAACUCNNNNNNNNNNNNNNNNNNNNNNNNNNNNNNNNNNNNNNNNNNNNNNNNNNNNNNNNNNNNNNNNNNNNNNNNNNNNNNNNNNNNNNNNNNNNNNNNNNNNNNNNNNNNNNNNNNNNNNNNNNNNNNNNNNNNNNNNNNNNNNNNNNNNNNNNNNNNNNNNNNNNNNNNNNNNNNNNNNNNNNNNNNNNNNNNNNNNNNNNNNNNNNNNNNNNNNNNNNNNNNNNNNNNNNNNNNNNNNNNNNNNNNNNNNNNNNNNNNNNNNNNNNNNNNNNNNNNNNNNNNNNNNNNNNNNNNNNNNNNNNNNNNNNNNNNNNNNNNNNNNNNNNNNNNNNNNNNNNNNNNNNNNNNNNNNNNNNNNNNNNNNNNNNNNNNNNNNNNNNNNNNNNNNNNNNNNNNNNNNNNNNNNNNNNNNNNNNNNNNNNNNNNNNNNNNNNNNNNNNNNNNNNNNNNNNNNNNNNNNNNNNNNNNNNNNNNNNNNNNNNNNNNNNNNNNNNNNNNNNNNNNNNNNNNNNNNNCAUAAACAUUGGAUCGGGUACCACGUUCCGGUACGCUAAGAGCCAUCAGAGAACCAUUGAUUUGACAUAACUGUAUAUCUUGAUAAAUGUGAAAUUUUUCGUUGUUCGUAAAUGAUAUCAAUAUUGUGUAUAUUCCAUUUAUGCAUGUUAUUAUAUUGUUGUAAUGACUUAUGUAUGUUGCACUAAUGGGAUAGCCGUGUGAUCCUACAAGUACACUGUGGUUGUGUACUAAUACUGCACUUGCUCUUUCUUUGUUGAGUACAGGCAUCUUCAAGUGGCUAUUGAUAGACCUCAACUAGGUGACUAUUGAGCAUGACCGGAUUUAAGGGUGAGCCAGUUCUUUCAGGCUACCAUGGAUCUUUCUUGUUUAAGUCCACUCUUUUUGGACUCUGACUUUUGUUUAAGGUGUUGUUUAGUUUCGGGGUUGUACCCUUGUUCUUAGACUUGUCGUUAGUAGAGUUUUGGUACAAUGACUUUCAGGUUAUAGGGAUUGUUCUUCCGCAUUAGAUUGGUUAGUUGUUUGUUAAAACCUUGGAGUUUAUGGGGACUCCAUUUUUAUUGACAUUUAAACCUGCUUAUGUAUCUUUAAAUGUCUUAGUGUUCAUAAAAUUUGUUAGUUUGACUAUAGUUUUGGUUCUCCCACCGGAGGGUUAGUGUGGGUGCCACUUACGACGGUCUGGAUCGUGACAAUACUAUGAGGCAAAAUUGUGUUAAUAUUAGAUUUAAUUAUCUCUUCUUUAUUUGUGUCUCAAUACUUAAAGCACGUGCCUUGCACGGGUGCUCUUUAUCUAGUACUAAUCAAUAAGGCAGUAAAGAGAGGAGUUUAUUGUCGUCCUCCUAUCUUAUGUGCUUCCACACAAUUAAAAUAAAUCUUCUACACAUGCACCAAUUUUGUAGUAAAAAGAAGGGCCAACUUGAAUAACUUUUUUCACAUAUUUCUUCCGCUUUUAAUUUAUUUAUUUUACUUUUCUUUUUCGUAUGUUAUGUGUUUAAAAAUAUGAAAAUAUAUUAUUACAAAUCAAAAUUAUUAACUAUAUACAUAUUAUUUUUUAGUUCAAGUCAACUUAAAAUCUCCUAUAAUUUGAAUCUUAACAACAUAUAAAAAAUCUGUCAGCCACAUAGGUUGGAACAAAAAACCUACAUAUAUUACUGAAAGCUACAUAAAAAUAAUACUAUAAAUUACAAUAAUAAACAACUUUAAAUAUCUAAAAACCAAAUUAUAUUUAUAUGCUAUAACGUAUAGUUUGUAUAAUUGUGCUCCAUAACAAACUUUGUGUUUGCUAUGGCUAUUAAUAUGGUAUAUUUCGGUAUACAUAUACAAAAGAAUUAAUUGUAUAAUCUGUGUUUGUAUAAAGCGAGAAAGAGAGAAAGACAAAAGAAAACUAGGGCAAGGGAAGAUCUGUAUUUGUAUAAUUAUAAGUGUAUAGGACGAAAAUAUAUGUAUUUGUAUUUUUAUAUACAAUUUUCUCUCACUCUAUACAAACACAAACGCAAUUUAUAUAUUUGUGUUUGUAUAAAGUGAGAGUGGCGAGUAAGCGUGGCGAGCGAGAUCUGGGAGAGUGACGAGCGAGAUUCUCUGGGGAGAGAGACGAGCGAAAAGAUAUGUAUAUAUACAGUUUUGCCUCGCUUUAUACAAACACAAACGCAUUUUAUACAUUUGUGUUUGUAUAAAGUGAGAGAGGCGAGGGAGAGAUUGCUCAGCGAGAAAUCGAGAGUGGCGAGCGAGAAAUUCAGGGAGAGAGGCGAAUGACAAUUGUUUGCUAUGGGUUACAAUUAAAUCAAACUGUGGUUAUAACAUUUAAUUUGAAUUAAUAGUUUGCUAUUUUAUACAAUUUUUCCUAUAAAUAAUGCAAAAAAUAGGAAAAAAAUAUGAGUUACUUAUUUUAUAAAUCUAAAAAAGUUUUAAAAAUUUAACUAAAAACAGCCAAUUUUUAAACUGGAGUAACUUUGGAAAUAUUAGAAGAUGUCACUUGAAUGGAAAAAAUGUAAUCCGGGUACCAUCAAAAUUAGAAUCAAAAUGUAUUUUAAGGAUUGCAAAUCUCUUAAAACACUUUAAUGAAAAAAAUUCAACUCAUUUACCAUCAAAAUUGGAGUCAAAAUGUAUUUUAAAGAUUGUAAAUUUCUUAAAACACAUGAAUUGAAAAAAAUUUAACCCAUGUACCAUCAAAAUUGGAGUCAAAAUGUAUUUUAAAUCUCUUGAAACACUUGAAUGGAAAAAAAUUAACUCAUGUACCAUCAAAAUUGGAGUUAAAAUGUAUUUUAAGGAUUGUAAAUCUCUUGAAACACUUGAAUGGAAAAAAUGUAACUCAUGUACCGUUAAAAUUGGAGUCAAAAUAUAUUUUAAGGAUUAUAAAUCUCUUAAAACGCUUUAAUGGAAAAAAUGUAACUCGUGUACCGACAAAAGUGGAGUCAAAAUGUAUUUUAAGGAUUGUAAAUCUCUUGAAACACUUGAAUAGAGAUAAUAUAACCCAUGUACCGUCAAAAUUGGAGUCAAAAUGUAUUUUAAAGAUUGUAAAUUUCUUAAAACACAUGAAUUGAAAAAAAUUUAACCCAUGUACCAUCAAAAUUGGAGUCAAAAUGUAUUUUAAAGAUUGUAAAUUUCUUAAAACACAUGAAUUGAAAAAAAUUUAACCCAUGUACCAUCAAAAUUGGAGUCAAAAUGUAUUUUAAAUCUCUUGAAACACUUGAAUGGAAAAAAUGUAACUCAUGUACCGUUAAAAUUCUUGAAACACUUGAAUGGAAAAACUGUAACCCAUAUACCGUCAAAAUUGGAGUCAAAAUGUACUUUAAGGAUUGUGAAUAUCUUGAAAUACUUGAAUGAAAAAAAUUUAACUCAUGUACCGUCAAAACUAGAGUCAAAAUGUAUUUUAAGGAUUGUAAAUCUUUUGAACAUUUGAAAGGAAAAAAUGUAACUCAUGUACUGUCAAAAUUGGAGUCAAAAUGUAUUUUAAGGAUUCUAAAUUUCAAAGAAAAAUACAUAAUAAGCAAUUCAUUUAUAUACUUGACUUAAUCACAAAAUAAAAAAAAAUAUCAUCACCUAUAAAUUGCACAACUUUCUUCCCAAAGUUUCUCAAGCCUAUUAUGUCAAACCAUUUUCUUUCCCCAAAAACUGUUGUAAUGGCACAAACUAAGAUUAUACGUCGACGGAAGAUUGAACUGAAGAUGAUAACAUCAAAAGCAAAACUCAUGGUAGCUUUCAAAAAGCUAUGGGCAAGUGUUGUCAAGGAAGCACAUGAACUUUAUAUUACAACGGGAGAACAUAUUGCUAUUGUCGCUUAUUCCCCGUCUGGCAAAUCAUAUGCUUAUGAUUCCUCCAAUAGUUUUGAUACAAUAGAGAGGUUCCUCAAUGAUGCAAAGGCUUCUGCGGUCAAAGAGGGUCAUUGAUUUGAUUGUCUUUGGAGAAGGAUUAAUCUAUUUUCUUUUAUUUAGUUUUUAUCUUCAGUGAAGUCAGUUUAUUUCAAUAUGUGAGUCUUUAUUUGGGUCGUUGUUGCCCUUUGAUUUUUAUUUGCUUAAUCAUUUACUAUUGCGUCUUUAGUCCUCCAUGAUCUUACACUAUGAAGUAUAAGAUCUUAUGGUAGAUUUUCUAUUCUCCCUUAAUUUUAAUAAAAUAAAUACUUCUCUGUUAAAGAAUGUGAUGUCAACUCGUAAAUAUAUGUUUAUGCAUUAGUCGAUUAUAUCACUCCUCUAAGUAAUUGAGCUACAAAAUUGUAUGAAAACUCUACGAAGCAGCCGAUUCACUAUUGAUUAAAAGAAAUAAAAAAAAGCUUAUUUACAAAGAAUUUACAAUAUAAAAGCUUUCUUUUAAAUAGUAUGGCUAUAAAGUAACUAGUCUGUGUUAGGUUUUCUUUACACUUCUAAUAGUGUUCACGAGAAAUUGUAAAAUUGCCCAAUCUAAAUUCAAAUAAUAAUAAAAAUAACAUUCUCUUAGUUUGAUUUAGUUUUGAAUUUUGAAAAUCGAUAAUAUUUUAUUUAAUUGUGAUCAAAGUAAAAAGUAAUAUAAGAAUUGAACCAAACAAGCUGUAUAAAUACAUAAUGAAAAAUUAUAAUUACAUUUAUGUAUAUGUAUUUUUCAUAUCUAGUUACAAAAUAUUUUCAAUGGAUAUUAUCUUUUUGAAAUCUUGGGCAUUUUUCUAGUGUGUAUAAUUAUCUCGUUUCUUAGAGUGUAAUGGGCUUGUUCAGACAUCAUCUCUAGCCAUAUUAUGCAUAUGUCGAUGCAAAUCUCUGCUUUUAUAAAUAUAUAGGCCUGUGGCAGUACGAGUUCAAUAUGCAUGUGUGUUAUUUUUUUGUCCUAAUUUUUAUGAUAUAGAUAGUAUUUGGAGAGUCAAUCAUAAAUUGUAUAUGUUUUUUAAUAUUUUAAGUUGUUAAAUAUUGUAAUUUAUAGUACUUUUGUCAUGACCCAAAACGAGUCAUUAGUGACAUCCACACCUAACCUCCUAGGUGGACGAACCAAUGAAUUCAACCCCAACUUAUAUUAAUUGUUCAACUUACGAAAUCCAACAAUAAUGCGGAAGCUCAAAUCUUAUUAAGGUAAAAAAUACAAAUCCACUAAAGUCUAGUAAACAUCGUUUCUCACUGAAAGUCAUCAUGUCAAGACAACUAAUUCUCAAAUACCAAGUCUAAGAGUAUCAAAGAUACCAGAAAUAAAUUAAUAAAUAAAUAGUUUGUGUCCGAAAACUAAGGACAUCAUGCCACGACUGAGAGAAUCCAACAUGAGUUAGAAUGAAUAGCUCACCCUAGAACCUGAUGUGCUGGAGACUGGUUAGAACUGAGGGCGAGUUAAAGCUGGUGGUACACUCGUUGUACUCCACAAAAGGAACACGAAGAAAAAUACAAGUAGGGGUCAGUACAGAGAAACAUGUACUGAGUAGAUAUCAUUGGCCGACUCAAAACAGAAAUCAAUAUGCAUAAAGUAAUAGUAUAAAAUUAACUAUAGCACUUAGCAGGUGGCAAACAACAAACAACAUGAACAAGUGACAACAGUAACAAAGCCAGUAUGUAAUCAAUCAACACUAUGAAGAACACACAUGAUGACUCAGGCCUCCCUACCACGCUCUUUUGGGAAAUGAGAUUGAGAACAUUUAAGUUAUUUUGAUAUGUUUCUUUUAAUGUUACCGUGCCGGAACGUGACACCUGAUCCAAUAAUAACGUGCAGGCUCGGGACACCAGAUUCAAAUAUAUCGUGCCGGUUAGUAACACCCGAUCCAAAUAUAUCGUGUCAGCUCGUGGCAUCAGAUCCAAAUAUAUCGUUCCGGUUCGUGGUACCCGAUCCAAAUGUAAUGUGUCGGCUCGUGGCACCCGAUCCAACAACAUAGUUAAUUCAUCAUUAUUUAUCAUCACUUUCCACUUCAUUAACAAUAUUUCAUCAAACCUUCUUUAUUCAAUGCAUCACUUUAAUAGAGCAAGUUCAAGAUUAUGAAUUUCGCAGUCUUGGGAUUACAGAUCAAUCUCAACAACAUAUGAAUUAUUCAAACCACAACAACCAAGUACAUAGAAAAAUUCACAAUAUCACUUAAUGACUAUCAAUUACUAUUAAAAGUCUCUCUAUCACAUAGAAUAAAUCAUAACCUACCUUCACUGAAGAACCAAAGUCAAACAAGUUGAUUCCCAAUGUUUUUCCUUUCCUCAAUGCCUCAGAAAUGUUUCCAAUCUAUCAAGUAUGCAUAAUUCAUAAGUUAACGAGUCCAUAGACACCCAUAUUACCAUAUAUCUAGCCUAGAAUCAAUAACUCAUCCAAAUCUAUAGUCAAUUUUCUAAAGUUCAAGCCUACGGAUAAAUCUCAAUUCCUCCAAUUAUCAUAACUUUAAUGAUAUUUAAGUAACCUAUUAUUUAACUGUCUAAAAUAUAUAGUAAUCAUUAGCACCUUACGGCUAAUAACUGAAGAUAGCAAAUUUGUCUCCCAAAAGUCAACCAGUAAUCACCUUAGCCCACCUUCAUUUCAUAUCCAACCAUAAUAUUAUCCCCUCAAAGUUCAAUUAUGCUUUGACUUAGUUUCCAACUUUUCCAAUUCAAUUUUAUCUAAUUUCCUUUAACAAUCCACAUUAUACUAAUAAUAAAAUAACUAUGGCAUAAAUCAAUAAAUAUAUGGAUUAGACGAGUGACUACCUGAAGAACUCACGGCUUCUCUGCUUAGUUGUCGCAUGGGUAAGUUUUCUCGCUUAGUUUAUUUACCCUCAAUUAAUUAUGAACCAAAAUUGCUGAAUUUAUUAACUUUAUUUUUACGUAUACGCCAAAUGACAUAGGAUAUUAAAUAAAUUUAAGACUUGGUCCAUUUGCAGUCAAUUAAGAGUUAGCUAUUUAUAAAAGGGAAAAUUACACUGUUAAGCAAAUUUAUACUAGUUAAUUAGUCAUCAUAGCUAUAAUUUGCUAUAAUUAUCACUCACGACUAACAUUAACCAUUAAUUAUGUGGGUUGACUUCGAGUUUGUAUAAUUGGUCACAUUUGUAUAAUUCGCCACAUUUGUAUAAUUCGCAACUAACAAUUCUUCGUUUGAUGUGUAUUUGUAUACAAUGGUUUGUAUUUGUAUAUGACGAUAACUUCCUUUGGUUUUUCAGUUUUAUCACCAUAUACAUUCAAUCUUUUUUCGAAUAACUUUUUAAAGUUUGUAUACACGUGUAGUUUUCGGAUUUUGUAUAAUAUAAUUUAUAUAACGUAAUUUGUAUGAUAUAAUUUGUAUAACUGCUUAAAGUUCAUAUGGUUAUAUUUGUAUCAAUUUGUUAUUUCGAGUUUUAUCAUAUUUGUUAUUGUACUACUCAAUUAUACAAAAAAAUCUGUGAAUUAUACAAAUGUACUCGCGAGUUAUACAAACGAGAUGCGAAUUAUACAAAUUAUUUCCCUCUCUCAUUCACCUCUCUUCUUCCUCUCCCAUUCUCACUCGCCUCUCUCCUCCCUCUCCCAAUCUCGCUCGCAUCUCUCCUCCCUCUCCUAAUCUCGGUCACAUCUCUCCUCCCUCUCUCAAUCUUGCUCGCCUCUCUCCUCCCUCUCCCAAUCUCGCUUGCCAGAUAUACAAAUACAUAUGUAUACCAGUUACAUAUAUACAAUUAUCUAACCGAUAUACCUAUAUAAUUCACCUCUCUCUCACUCUCUCGCACGCCUCUCUCCUCCCUCUCCCAAUCUCGCUCGCCACUCUUCUUCCUAUAACAUGUAGCUACGAAUCAUAAUUAGCAAACUAUAGCUAUGGAGCGUAAAUAAGCUAUUUUUGAGUGGCUAUAUGCGAAAGUUUCCCUUUAAUAAAUACCCAUCAACGAAAUAACCGUAGUUAAACAAACAGUUCACAAUUCUUAUUUCAAAUUUACGGGAAGGUUCUUUUAUGAAAGAAAUAGGUUUAGUGUUCGAAAUGACAUAACGGUUCAUUACAAAUUUAUACAUUAUUUUCCAAAUUUAUAUUGUACUCCCACUAUCCCAAUUUAUAUGGCACAGAUAGAAUUUCGAGAGUACUCACAAUUUUUUAUAUGUUUUUAUAAAUAUUUUAAGUUACUAAUUAUUAUGAUUUAUAGUACUCUUUACAUAAUUUUAAAAUAGUAUUGUUAUUUUAUUUGUCCAAUUUAUGUGGCAUGCGUAGAAUUUGAGAGUCAACCAAAUUUUUAUUUUAUUUUUAAAUAUUUUAAGUUAAUUAUUAUUAUUUAUAGUACUUUUACGUAACUUUCAAACAUAUAAUAGACCAAAAUAAAUAUGACAAAUAAAUUGAAACAGAGAGGAUACUUAUUUUUCAGAAAUACCCUCAGCUAGAAGGCAUGUCGAUGAAUUGUUUGCUUCUAGUCAGUAGUUGCCUCUAUAUAAUUAAAAUAUUAUAAGUUAUAAAUUAUUGUGAUUUAUAAUACUUUUUAUAUAAUUUACAAAUAUAUGAUAUAUCAAAAAGAAAAAUAAGAUAAAUAAAUUGAAAUUGAAAAAAUACUGAAUUUUUAAAAAUUCCUCAAUUAAAAAUAGGCAUAUCAACGAACAAUAAUCUUCUCCUAACCGCUUUUAUAUAGUAGUAAUGUGGAAGAAAAACUCAGCUUUUGCUAAUCUGUGAAUUCUACUUAUAGUCACUGGUGGUGACAUGCUUUAAACCCUAGAUAUGCUCUUUAAUUCUCUAAACAUUAACAUUCUUUAUAAUAUCGUUUUUCCUUCUCAUUUUCAUUUCAUUUUAGUUUACUUUAUGACUUAUUAACUAUAUUUUAUUUUCAUUUUUUCAAUUAUGGUGAAUCUCCAACUUAUCUAAGGUAAGAAACUCCUUAAUUAAUCGAAUUGACCUCUGAAGUUUGUAAGCAUCUAUUGUUAAUCAAAUUUGUUUUUUACAUCAUUUUAGCACAGAGUUAAUAUCUCAAAAGGUCACUCAACUUUGAUAAUUUAUCUAGUAAAGUAAUUGAACUGUAUUUUGUAUCAAUAAAAUCACUCAACUUUGAUUUUUAUACCAAUAAAAUCACUCAACCAAAUUUAUCAUUAAAACAGUUGACAAAGCAAAAUAAAUUAUUUUUAUGCUAUAUAAAUAUAAACUUUAUAAAUAUUUAAAAUUAAAGAAAACUUAUCAAAAAAUUUUUUACUGAUAAACUUAAUUAGUGAAAACUAUAUUAUGAUAUUAGCAAGAACCCUCUGCCUUAUCGUAGCAAUAGCGGGGCAAUAACAGUAAUUAUUUUUCGAUUAGAUCCAAUUUAAAUUCUGAUGGCUGAAAAGUGGUGGAAAGAAAACUGUCAAUAAUACGAAAUUUGAACAGAGAGGUGUAUCUAGUGGGGGUUCCGUGGGCUCACUUGAAAUCAUGCUCCCCUCUCUAGAUUAUAUAUAGUAGUGUUAUAUUUUUUUAAAAGUAUUUAAAUAUAAAGGUGUCAUGAACCCACGCUAAAAGUAGCAUAUAAAUAUGAUGAUGACUAGGUGUACCUCUCUAAAUACAGAUAGAAAUUUAAAUCUUAUAUAUCUAUCUCAUUUUUGUUAGUAACACCCCUCCAAGUGGUUAUCGAUAACACUUUUGACGUUUCAAUCAUUUUGUUUUUGUUGUUUUCUUUAAUCUUUCAAAAUUUUCAAGUGUGUAAUAUUGAAAAUUCCUAAAAAACACUUAGCACGGUAAAUUUUUUAUAUAAUAAAUCAAAUGUGUAUAUUGAAAUUUAAAACUAGUAUUAUAUAUGUUAGACCUAUAAUUUUUAAAAUUUAAUAGUUUAGUGUUAAGAACGUAAUUAUCAAAUCGAUCAAAUUUAUAUCUUAGAUGCAUCUUUUCAUAAUAGUGCAUCCAUCCUUUUGAAAUCGUGGAUACGCCAGAACAGUGCCUUAAUUAGUAUAUAUCAAGUUCAAACAUCUCGAUUGAAUUGCCAUUGAUGCUUUUGGGUGAUGCUAACAAACAUCUCGAUUUAUUUAUGAAUUCUCCUAAAAAAACAUAUUUUUUUACCCCUGAAUAUUAGUUUUAAUUUUUCAAAUAUAUAAAAUGUUCAUCCAUUUUUGUUCUUUUUAUUACUUAGCAGAACUGUGACUUCUUCUCCGAAUUUGACAAUGGUUUUGUUUUAUUUUUGUGAUGGUUACAGUGAUUCGGUGACUAAAACCUUGAUUUAGGAGAGGAAAUGGCUGGUGAUAUAUUUUUUUAAUAAUAAAUUAAGUUAAGUGAUUUUAUUGAUAUAAAAAUUCAAGAGUGAAUUUAUUGAUACAAAAUAAAGUUUAUUGAUUUAACUAGAUAAAUUAUUAAAAUUGAGUGACUUUUUAAGAUAUUAACUCUUUUAGCAUAUAAAUAUCUCUUUUAGGUCUACUCUUGACCUUUUGACUUUACUUCAUUGUUGAUAGGUUUAAUAUGUGAAAAUUGAAAAUAGUGAAAUCAUAUUUUAAAUAUAAAUUUGAUGUUUAUCUGCGAAGCCGCAUUUUAAAUAUAUAGUUUACUAACCCUCACAAAUAACUGUAGCAGUGAUUUUCACAAGUCCUACAGUUACAUAUAUUAUAAUUGAUUUGCUGUGUUUUUUUAAGACAGUGAUUUUUUAGGAUGGUUAUAAACCUCCGUUAGUUAUUUUAUCAAAUUCUGAAUACAUUCAUUUUGUGACAGUUGUAACCUCCGUAAUUUUUGACAAACAAUUAGCAUUUCGCUAUUUAUACAAUUAGAUUACAAUAAAUAUGAAUUUUAUAAUUAAUAACUAAAACUUGUACAUUCAUAUAUAAGAAACAAAAUAUAGUUUAAGGAUCGUAAAUCUCUUGAAACACUUGAAUGGAAAAAAUGCAACUCAUGUACCAUCAAAAUUGAAGUUAAAAUGUAUUUUAAGAAUUGUAAAUCUCUUGAAACACUUAUGUAACUCAUGUACCGUCAAAAUUGGAGUCAAUAUGUAUUUUAAGGAUUGUAAGAGUUCAUUUGAAUUGGCUUAAAAAGUAGCUUAUAAGUAAAAAAUAAAAAGUUAAACUUGAAUGAUUUUUAAGUCAAAAAAAUAAAAAGUAGGGGGAGACCUACUUUUAGUUUUUGACUUAUUUUAAGUCAUUUUUUACCUUACCAAACACUUCCUAGCUUAUUUUAAGUUAUUUUUUUAUAUUUUUCAAACACUUUCAGAAGUCAAAAAUUGACUUAAAGUAGGUUUGAUCAACUUUUAAGUCAAUCCAAACACCCUCUAAAUCUCUUGAGACACUUGAAUGGAAAAAAUGUAACUCAUGUACAGUCAAAAUUGGAGUCAAAAUAUAUUUUAAGGAUUGUAAAUCUCUUGAAAUACUUGAAUGGAAAAAAAAGUAACUCAUGUACCAUCAAAAUUGGAGUCAAAAUAUAUUUUAAGGAACGUAAAUCUCUUCAAAAACUACAUAAUGUACAAUUCAUUUAUAGACUUAACUUAACCACGAAGUAAAAAAAAUUAAUUAUCGCCUAUAAAUUACGUGACUUUCUUCUCAAUGUUUUUCAAGCUUAUUCAGUUAAAUCAGCUUUUUUUUCAAAAGUUUUUUUAAGGACAAAAAAUAAAAUUAUACGUCGACAAGAUACUGAAACAAUGAUGACAGAGGCAACUUUCAAAACGGAAAUGGCAAAUCUUGUCAAGAAAUCACGUGAACAAUCAUUGAUAACAGGAGAUCAGGUUGUCAUUCUUGCUUAUUCCCCAAAUGGCAAACAAUUUUUUUAUGAUUCCUCUAAAAAUUCUCACAAAAUUGAUAGGUCUCUAAUUCAAAAAGUGAAGAACGUUGUUGCGGCUAAAAGAUGAUGUGAAGGCUAGGUCAUUGAAUCAUUGGAGAAGAGUUUAUCAAAUCUUCUUUUAUUUAAUUUUGGUUUGUCGGUUAAGUCCAUUUGUUUCGAUAUUUAAGUCUUUUAUGGGUCGGUUGUUGUCCUUUAAUUUGCAGUCAUCUUAUGAUGUAUUUUCUCUUCUCUCUUAGGGUAUUUUAAUAAAAUGAACUCUUCUCUAUUAAAGAUUGUGACUUAAACUAAUGAAAUAAAUAGUUUAAUGUAUUUCUUGAUGACAUCAUUCUAAAAAAUAAUUAAGCUAUUUAAUUGUGUGAAAACUCUAUGAAGUGACAUAUUCAAUAUUGCUUUAAAGAGAAAUAAAAAGAGGAUCAUUUACAACGAAUUUACAACAUAAAAGAAAAUUUUCACAUCCGGAUGCUUUUUAGAAAGAGCCACAAUUGUCAACUGCAAUUGGUGAGCAAAAUAAUGAAUAUAAUAUGUAGGUGGAGCAUCUUGCAAAUUCAAAGACUUUAGGCCAUUUUUUUCUCCUUGCAUAUUACUAGCUCCAUCAUAACUUUGUCCACGGAGUCUUGAUAGGCAUAAUGAGAGAUCCAAAAAUAAAGAGUAAAUUGAUCUUUGCAAUGAUCUUGCGGAUGUAUCACUCACAUGAACAAUACCCAAAAAGCUUUCUGUCAACUCUCCAUUUUUGUUAACAUAUCGUAAAACUAGUCUCAUUUGCUCUUUUAUGUGAAAUGUCCUUUGACUCAUCAACUAGUAUUCCAAAAUAAUCACCAUCCAAGUCUUUGAUGAUAGAUUUAAUUGUUUCUUUAGUACAAACAUCCACAAUCUCUUUUUGAAUUGUCGAACAUAUCAUCAUAUCAUUUUUUGGAGCAUGUUGUAAUAUAUCAUUUUCCACAUCCGGACGAUUAAACUCAUGAAAUUUCAAAAGUUCAAGAAAAAUACCUUUGUAAUCAGAUGACCACAAAAUGGUAAUCCGUUUCUUAGGAGAAACUUACCACAUCGAUUGAGGCAUUUAAACGAAUUCGAUAAUCACUUUUAUUUUUUCACUUUGCUUGUGAAGAGAAGAUUGAAUUGAUUGACGUUGAUUCGCAAAAUCAAGCAUCCUAUUCAAACAUUUGUUAUGAAUACUAUUCACCUCACCAACAUGCAAUCGAAUUUUUUUCGGACCAUGGUUCCAAUUUCUAAAACCAUCUUGUGUAAAUGAUUUUUCCGCAUUGCCAUGACUUUCAAAUUUAUUUUUGAAGAGAUAGCAACACAAACAAAAUAUAGCAUCAUAAUUUAUGCUAUAUUCCAACCAAGCAGAAUUUGGAACAUUAAACCACUCAGGAUUAAAUUGUCGAUUCCUAGACCCAAAUGUUGUUUUAGGAUAUAAGGAUAUACACGGAGUUUUGGUUGAUAAGGCCCCAUUAAAAUAUGAUAUCUCUUCAAUACAUCUGAAAUAUUGGAGUCAUAAUCAAAGAGGGGUUUUCUUUCUUCGGGAUCCCGUUUAAGAGAUCCAACCCCAAGAAUACAAUCAACAUUUGAAGAAGAAGGUGUAAUUGUCUCUCUUUGAGCUUAUGGAGCUACAUGUGAACUAACAGAUGGACCUACUAGAAUGUGGUUGGUUAAUCAAUAAUUUAUCCAUUUAGAUAUUCAAGGAUAAAUGUUCCUACAAAUUCAAAUAACUAUUCAACUUAGUCACAAAUUUAACUAGUAAAUUUAAAAUAAAAUAAGAGAAUCGCAUACCUUUCACAAUAAAAAAAAUAAGGGAAUCACACCCUUGAAAGUUCAAAUAAAAUAGAGGAAUCACAAUCCUUACAAAUCUAACUAAAAUAGAGAAAUAACACCACUUUCAUAUUUAACAAUAAGAAAAUCACACAUUCAAAAUAAAAAGAAGACUUGUACCUCUUUUGCAUUCAGAAUCACAUAUUCAUAAUAAAGAAGAGAAAUCACUCCCCUUUCACAUUAAAAAAAUAAGGGAAUCACACCCUUCAAAAUUAAUAAUAUAAUAUAAAAACGCAUUCCUUACAAGUUACAUCCACAAAAUAUGUAAGUUUGAGAUAACCAAUUCAUUAGCUCUUGAUGAUUUCCUAUUAUAAGUAACGACAAGAAUUUUCUUUUUAUGGAAACCCUAAAUUUAAAGUCAUGUAUUUAAUUUUUAAUUAUUUUGUUAGUUUGUUUAUUAAAAAGAGAAUCAUGAACUAAAAAGAAUUUUACCUUAAACUUUGACAAUAAUGAUUUUUCUAGAUUCUUGACUUGAAGUUGGAGACUUGGAGCUUGUUUGGGUGAAAAAUAAAAGACAAUUUUGAAGAGAGAAGAAAACAUAUUGUUGGAACUUGAAAAGUGGGUGGGAAGAAAACCUUUUGAAGUCUUUUGACUUUAUAGCUUUUAGAAUUUAGCUUUUUGAAAAGAAAAAAAAUUGUGUUUUUAUUUAAUAAAAAAACAAAUUGAAGCAAAUUGUUGCUAGCUAGGAUCGAACUUGGGACCUUAGUGUUGAAAACAAGCCUUCAAACCAAUAAAUCAUCUACCCAUUUUGAGAAUGGUUCCACAAGCUUGUAUUUAAUAGAUUCUUUAAUAAUUACAAAUAAUAUAUCGAGUUUAGUCGGAUGACCACGGGUUCCGGUGACCCAGUUUUAAUACAUAAAUUUGACCCUGACCGCAAUAAUUCUUGUAUCAAAAUAUUGUUUAAAUCUAUCAAUGGUAUCAGAGCAUGGUUAGAUUGUUUCUGUUUCGCGUUAUUUUUUGUUCGAAACUAUCAAUAAAUCUGAAAUCUGUUGUGUUUCGCAUUCAAAGAAAAAAAAUCGCCGAUUCCUUUAUGCAAUAUAUCAGAACUGUGUUCAUCCUUUUGUUUUUCCUUAUUAUUUGUUUUGAAUCAAAUAUGUGGAAAUAACUUAUUCAUGAAAUAUAUAUUAUUAUUUUUAAAGAAUAAAAGGGGAAAAUGAAUGGAAUAAGCGAGGUCAUGUACAUUUUUUUGAAAGGAUAAGUUAAUGGAGAGAAGAAGUAGAUUCUGUUAUUGAUUUAUACGUUUUUGUUUGUUCAUUUUUUAACGAAAAUGUAGUACUUGUCUUAUGUGUACUAUUAUACUUUAUUAAAGGAGAAGAAUUUUGUCUUUAAAAAUGAAGUACUAAUCCUAUGUAUACUACUUUUCUUUAUUAAAGAAGGAUGAAAUUUUGUUUUCUUUAGUGGGAAGGAAUUUUUUUUAUGAACGUGAUUUUGUUUCUUUUUAUAAAAGAAAUAUGUAUUUUCUCAUUAAUUCCUUUCAUGAAAUAACAUAUACAAAUGUUUGCCCAAGUGAAUAUAGGUUUUUUUAGUUCACUUCUUAAUUAUAAGAAGAAAAAAAACUUCCUUGAAAAAAUGUGUAAAGGUUUUUUCUUAUACUGAACUCUUUUUUUAAAAAAUUUUAUUUUGUUGGAAAACAUUGGAAGAGUAAUAAAAAAAGGGAAAAGAAUUUAUUUUUUUAUGUAGUACUGUAAGUUAUCAUGUGCUUAUAUUAUUUGUCACUUUUAAGGAAAAAGUGGAAUACAAUGAUAUGACAUCCAUUUUUUAAGGAAAUUGAACAGUAGUACUAGCAUGUGAUGGUCUUCCAUUCUUUAAAGAAAUUAAAAGAGUACUAUUUUUCAUUUUAAAGACAUGUGAAAAUUAUAGAAAUAAAGGUAUUAUUUUUAAUAUGGUCAAUUUUUUUUUUUGAGUUUUGGACUUUAAUAUUUAUUUAUUUUUAACAGUAAUAUGCUGAUAUUUGAGUAUAUACAGUAUGGUUUAUAUAAAUAAUUUAUUUGGCCUUGAAAGAAAUCGUUUAGUCCUUAUGUUCCUUAAACAGUUCCUUGUCUUCUACGAGAAAUUUGUGACAUACGUUGUCGUAUUAAAUGGUAUUAACCAUUUUUUUUUUGUUCCCAUUUCAGAUAUGGAUAAAUAAGAACAUGCUCAAAUUACUCCAAGUGAGAGUUCUCAAAGUCGAGCAAAGGAAAGAGGUAGAAGAGCAAAUCGUCGUAGGACAUGUUUCCUAGGGCGUGAAAUUAUAUGAAUUGGUGUCCCAAAGGUGCCACAAAAUUUGUUAACGAAUCAAAGGGCAAUUCGAAGGAAAAGAGAGAAGAAAUUUAAAGAGUUUAAGUCUUUGAAGAUGUCCCCUAAUAUUUCAGCACAUGAUUUUAUUCACAUUUUAAAAAUAAAAUGGACUGAACUGGUUGAUUAUAAGGAAAUUUGAUAUUGGAGAGCGUUAGCUUAUUUAACAGACGCUCUACAUGAACCUUGGGGUAGUAUAUUGACUGAAGUUUAUCAUGAUAUUUGGUCCACUCAGCCUUUUAGGGUGUAUAUUUAUUGCCCUGAAGAUUUGUGAAAGGAUUCUAGUCGUCACGGCCCAGACCGUCGUGAUUGACACCAUACUAACUCUUCGGUGGGAGAACCAUUACUACAACCCAAACUGAACAACUCAACCAAAAACUAAGGCAUUUAAAGAUACGGAAGCAGGUUUAAAUGCUAAAGGAAAAAUAGAGUUCCCAUAAACUCCAAAAGUCUAAUCAAACGAUUGCGGAAAUAACAUCUAGAACCUGAAAGUCAAUAUAUCAAAACUCUAACAAGGAUCAUAAGUUUAAAGGAAAUGGGCACAACCCAAUUAAACAUAAGAAAAUCUAAAGAACUAGUCUAAGUUCGAAGAUGUGGACAUAAACAAAAAGAGGACUCAUGGCAGCCUGGAAGAACUGGCUCAUGCUUGAAUUCGAUUGAUCACUGAUCUUCUAGACGAGAUCAGUCGCAUGAAGAUGCCCUGUACUCAACAAAGAAAGAGCAAGGGCAGUAUCAGUACACAAUCACAGUGUACUAGUAGGAUCACACGACUAUCUCAAUAGGUGAACAUAUAUAAGUCAUUAUAACAAUAAUAAACAUGAAUACACCGAACAUAUACAAUAUCCAUUAUCACUUAGGACAAUGUACAAUUUCACAAAUCUCAAGAUAUACAGUCAUGUCAAGUCAAUGGUCCUCUCAUGGAACCCAUACCCAAACUGUUAGUGUGCUAGUACGUGAUACUCGAUUUAAGUUAGUGUGUCGGACAUGACACCUGAUCCCAUAUAUGCGCUAGAACGUGGCACCCAAUCCAAGUUAGUGUGUUGGAACGUAACACCUGAUCCAUUCAACAAGCCACAAUCACAAUCGCAAUGUACAUUCUCAUAAUCAUACAAUCAAGUCAUGAUUCAUGGCAUACAAUUAUUCAAUCAUCCUCAUUUACUAUUAGUGUGAUCAAUAAUGUAACAUUCCCAUACAUACAUGCAUUAUAAUGAAGUAAUUACUAACAUACAUCACACCAACAUGAAAAUCACAACCAUCACCUACCUCAAACAAAGCUUGAAUCACCUAAGAAACUUGAUUCUUCCCUUUCCAGAUUCUUUCCGCUUUGUUCUUGGUCUACAAACAAUCAAUAUAACGUGAGGAUCAAUAAACAAGACCUAAUUACCCAGAUCAUAAUCAAUAAUACCAACCCUAGGUCAACCCUUGAUCCCCAUAUCUAGAUUAGGGCUUUUUCCACUAUAAUUUCCAGAUCAAAAACCCUCCCCCAUCGAUAAUUACCCAUGAGUUUACAUUCUUUGGAUCAAAAAAUAGAUUCGGGGAGUAAAAACCUUACAUUUAGCCUCAAGAAUGGUGAAAAACUGUCAAGAAUCGCCUGGGGUCGUCUCUUAGAUCUCUAAAACAAAAAUUGUAGAAUAAUGGCUUUUUGGGGUUUAUUUCCGACUUAAUUUGUGACUGGCCCGUUAUGGCGGCCCGCCCUGGUGGGAUAAAUUUUACCCUGGCGGCUUGCGCAGAAACAGAACGUCGUAAUUAGAGUCUCAAACCCCCAUUUCACAACACACCUUCAUCCCAUGACACUCAGAAAUUAUCCAUUCACGCUAAGAUCAGUUUUGGGAGUUCUACUCACCCGAAUUCGAUUCUGUAAAGUCGUAUGGGUUCCUUAACGUCUUAGCUAUCCACUCAUGAAAUCAAAUUCCUUGUUAAAUCACCCAAUCAUUACCAGAUUUUCCUAGGCUCACAUGACUCCGAUUUCAUCCAAAUCUGGACUAGGCUAGAAAAUUUCAAGUUACUACGAAAAAGUUUUUCGGCCCAAAAUUUUUCCCCGUUGGCUUUUUUUAUAAUGACAGAAAUAGGUCGUUACACUAGUCUUUAAAAAUUCUAGUAAUUUAUUAUUGCUUAUUUGCUUUACAAUAUAUGAAUUAUGUAGUUUGUUUUUCCUUAACUUAAGUUAUUAUACUUAAAAAAUACUUGUUAUUAAAGUCUUCAAUAUAUAUUAGUGUAUACAUCAAGAAAUUAGUUUCAAAUUUUGGUUAAAUAUUUUGUUCGUAGAUGAUGAUUGGAUGCUUAUGUGUCUUUUCGAUUUUACAUUAAAUAUGAAACCUUUAUGAGAAUUGAUUUGCUUGAAUGUGUAUGUCACAUGAAUACUUGAUUAGACAUUUUUUCCUUAUUAUAUCUCGUAACAGACAUCGCAUCAAAAAAUAUUAUUGCUGAAAAAUUCAACAGUGACAAUUUCGACAUUUGGAGUCGUAAAAUAUUAUAUGUACUAGAAAAGAAAAAUGCUCUAGAAGGUAUAAAUCAAGUUUUGAAUCAACCAGAAUAGGGCAACUUUGCACAACACAUAAGGGAUAUUAUAGCUUACAAAGCAUGGACAAAAAGUCAAUUCCACUGCACAUGGAAUAAUAGUUAGUUCUAUGGUUGAUGACCUCAUACAUGGAUGUGAGGAAUUUUCUACUGCUCAUACUAUGUGGGCAUAUCUGCGAGGAACGUAUGGGGGUACGUCUGUAACCCGCCUCCGACAGUUGAAUAUCAAAUUUGACACUUACAAGAAGCGUCAUGAUCUAAAUAUCAAACAACACCUUAGGAUAAUGUCAAACAUGAUAGCUCAACUCAAGAGUAUUGUUAAUGUUCUUUCAGAUGAGCAAUAAGUUUAAGUAGUGAUUCAGUUUCUUCGCAAUAAUUGGAAACAUUUGAAGGUUAACUUGACCCAUAAUGAUGCAUCAAAACUUUUUCUAAUAUUACCCACCAUGUUAAGCUUGAAGAUGAGUGUCUUGGUGCUACUAAAGUUGCUUCCAAUACCUUUGUGACAGAGUCAAGGGGUACAAAAUCAUUCAAGAUUCAAGUGCAAGAAAAAUUGGAAAAGAAAUGAGAAAGACACAGAAAGUGGAGAAGGACCCUCUAAGGAAAGUAAGUCAAAUUCCAAGAAAGGAAAAUGAUUUUUCAAAAAGAGGGACAAGAGCAGAAUGAAGUGCUACAAUUGUCAAGUGCUGGGGCAUUUUACUCGUGAAUGUACUAAGCCAAAAAAUGUAGUAUUUCUAAAUGCAUCUGUAAGUGCUACAUAUGUUUUCAACACUUCUUUACUAACUGAAUCUUAUCAUAUGUAAAUUGUAGACUCAGGAUCCAUCGACCACAUGAGUCAAGAUCAGGAAGCGUUUGUGGAGCUUUGUCGAGUUCCAUCUAAAUCAAGGUGGAUCUACAUAGAAAAUAAUGUCAAACUAGAAGUCAAAGGGAAAGGCAGCUGCAAAGUGGACUUGUGUGAUGGUCGUUCCUUGAUGUUGCAUGACGUCCUAUAUGCUCCAGAGAUUCGACAAAACUUAGUUUUUGUGUUUGUUCUUUUAGACGUUUGUUUUGAUUUGUUUUUUAGUCGUAAUAGUGUUAGAAUAGCUCUAGCUAAUUUUUUUAAUAUGGUUUUAGACUUCGUUAUGAUCGUUUUAGAUUGUUAUCUUUUGACUUGGGGCUAUUAUGUUGAUCGUUGUGUAUUGACAUGUUAUUCAGUAACAAUGAUAUUGAUGUUAUUACAUGGAAUGCAAGAUUAGGUCAUAUAAGGUAAGAUCGAAUGAAUAGGUUGGCAAAAGAAGGGAAUUUAGGUUCUUUCACCAAAAUUGAUAUGCUAACUUGUGAAAAUUAUCUUGCUGGAAAGAUUACACAUAAACCAUUUGGGAAGGCUAAAAGAGUUGAGUUCCCACUUCAAUUAAUUCAUUCUGAUGUUUUUAGGCCAAUGAAUGUGAGGGCAAGGUCAUGUGCUACAUACUUAAUUACAUGUAUUGAUGAUUUCACGCAAUUUGUUAUGUCUAUUUGAUUUCUCAUAAAUCUGAAGCACUUGAGUUCUUUAAAAGAUAUAUGAAUGAAGUUGAAAAUCAAUUAGAUAAAAGCAUAAAGGCUUUAACAACCGAUCGAGGUCGUGAAUAUUUGUCAAAAUAAUUUGAAUAAUUAUGUACUGAAAAAGGUAUUAUCAAACAGUUAACUACUUCUUAUACACCUCAACAAAAUGGUGUAGCUGAAAAAGGAAUAGAACAUUAUUGGACAUGACUAGGUCAAUAAUGGCAUAGACAAAUUUAUCUAUCUCUUUCUGGGAGAUGCAUUAUUGACUGUAUCUUAUAUAUUGAAUAAGGCCUUUUAAAUUAGUAUCUUCGACUCCUUAUGAACUUUGAGAUGGUCAUAAAAUAAACCUAAAUGAUCUACGACCUUAGGUUGUGCUGCAUAUAUCAAAGAUCGUCUUGGUGAGUUUGGUAAACUAAGUCCGAAAGGAAAGAAAUGUAUCUUUAUAAAAUACUCAGAACACUCCAAAAGAUAUAUGUUCAUUGAGGAAUUGGAGGAUGGAAGUAUUAUUGAAAUUGUAUCACGAGAUGUCAGAUUUUUAGAAAAUGAUUUUCCCAAAAAGGAUGAAAUUGAUGAAGGUGAGCCUCUAUACGAGAUAUUGAAUUUAGAAGAUCAUAUAAUUUCUUCAGACAUACUUGAUAAUUCAAUGGAUCAAGAAAUGAUAUUUGGUCUAAGUGGGAGUUAUGAAUCCCAAAAUCCUAUUGAGGAAUUUGAACUUCAAAUACGUAAGAGUACAAGGUGUACCUAAAUGAUCUUAUGAGAGUGAGAAUUAUGUUUUUUUGGUAUCUCUUACAGAAUUGGAUGAACCUAAUUUUGUAACCGAUGCCUUAUCAAGCCCUAAAAGGGAUGAAUGGUUAAAAGCGAUGAAAGAAGAAUUAGAGUGCAUGAAAACUAACAAAGUUUGGGAUCUAGUUUACCUUCCUAAGGAAUAUAAAGCUAUUGGGAAUAAUGGAAUCUAAAAGUUCAAUGUAAAUCGGAUGGGUCAAUAGAAAAACACAAAGCACAAUUUGUGGCAAAAGGUUUUACUGAAGAAGUUGGAAUAGACUACGAGGAAAUGACUUAACACUCAAUAUAUAGUCUGGUUCUCAAGCGAACCCUCAUCCUGGCUGACUACAAGCGGAAGACUAACUCAAGCAUACAAAGCUUAAAAACUUAAUAAAAUUUAUGAAACUGAAAUACAAAACUUUAACUCAAAUGAAAAACUCUAAAUAUAAAAAUAAUAUUCAACUCGCCAUAAAAUAGGCAACUUAAGUCUUUAAAACAUUUAAUAAAAUAAAUGAAUAAUACAGGCCUCUCAACUACACUGACUAUAUAUGAAGCCUCUAACUGAUAAAGAUGGAAGUCGGAACAAGACCCACAACAUCCUGACUAAACUGAAAAGUAAAUGAAAUCCUCCGGAAACAAGAAGGCUCACCAUAGCUAACUCGAACUCCCGGAUGUAUCAACGAAGCUCCUGUUGAUGAUCCUGAAUACCUGUGUCUGCAUCAUGAAAAGAUACAGGCCAAAUGGCUCAGUACGUGGAAUGUACGAGCAUGUAAGGGGAAUUCUAAAACAUAAACAUAAGCUUGAAACUUGAUAAAAAGAAACAUACUUACCUCUUCUCAAACUUACUCAACUCAAGGAAUUCUCAAGGAUACUCAAAACUAUUCAAACUUGCUCAACUCAUAAAUACUCAACGAUAAGAUACUCAACUCAGAGAUAAGAUACUCAACUCAAAGAUAUGAUAUUCGACUCUGUGUACUAAACUCUGGAUACUCAACUCGAUAUAACUGAGCUCAUUUCAAUAUAAAGCAAUUUAAAACAAGUGCAAUAUAAAGAAAAAGGAAAAAUGUUUAAAACAUGAUGUCAACUCAUAAUCAUAAUAUCAUAAAAGACAUACCAUGCUCCCUCUCAAAGUCUACUUGUGAAAUGCAUGAAUGAAGUCCCAUACUCCCAUUCAUAAUAAGCAAAACCCCUUGUGGAACCAUGCAAUUACUUCUAUGGGAGUUUCUCUAACCGACAACCAUCACUUAAUAGCUAUAGUGAUGAUACAGUGUUAUCAACCCCACGUUGCCCGGGCCAUCCUAUACCUUGUUGGGGUAUAGGGCCUGAACUACUAAGUGGAUCCGUUCAUCUAAAAAGUAUGACCCUUUUCUACCCAUGAUGGCUACAUGGUUUAUGGAGACUUGAGUUAAUAUGAACUCGCAUCCCCAUAUCGGUGCUCAAUACUACUCCCAAAAAUAUACUUAGCUCAUAUGUUUUAAAAACAACUUCUUCAGUGAUUUGAUAUUAGUGCUCAAAAACUUAGCUCAAAGGCUAUCUUUGAAAUCUCAGUUUCCGUUCUUAUUUAAAUGUGAAAAACAUUUUUAAAACUCUUUUGGGAAUACAUAGUCCCCAUAUACUUUUGAAGAAAUGAACUUCAACUUUACUCUUUACUGAACUCAAAGCUUAAGUCUUAAAACAAAGUUAAAACAUUUGUAAAAGACUUCUUAAAAUAUGGUUCAUGCCGAAUGAUGGACAUGAACGACUCUAUGCAAGGUUUUCAAUAACCAUAGAUAGAACUCAAUAUUUAGAACUCAAGAACUUCAAUGAUACUACUCAUUUCAAGAAUGCUCAACUCAGAGGGUUCAUGCGAAAUUAUGAGCAUGAACAACUCAACUCAAUGACUCAAAAGAUACUUCUUAUCUCAAGACUGUUCGACUUAUAAUGUUCAUGCGGAAUUAUGGGCAUGAACAACUCAACUCAUGGACUUCAUGGGUAAUAGGUAAUAAUCCCAUGAUUAGGAUUAUAAUCUCAGAAGGGUUAGGAACUCGAUACUCAAGACUUAGAACUUGAAGAUACUACUUCUUUCAAAGAUACUAAACUAAUGGAGUUCAUGCGUAAGUUAUGGGCAUGAACAACUCGACUCGAGGGUCUACAUAAUAAUAUGGAACUCGUGAAUACAACUCUUCUCAUUCUGUGACUUACUUCCUCAAAACUUAGUUCAAAUCGACAAUUGAUCUCAAAGGAUUCACAAUUGAACUCAAAGGCUUUCUUGAACUCUACUUUUAACUCUCUUCUUGAAUGUGAAUUAUGAAUUCAAGAGUUAUGGUUCAUGAUAUGAAUAAUCUAGGUGAUAGUGUAGACUCAUGAAUACAUUAUCCUCACUCUCAUUCUCACUUACUUGAGUUUUGAAACAAGUUAUUAGAAAUUGUAGAAGACUCCUCAGAAGGACUCAAAGGGACUGUCUCAAAAUGAUCGAAAAAACACUCAAGACUGAACUCUUAACUUUUCUAAAAAAAUUGAAUUAUUAAUUCAAGGUUAGGAUUCAUGUUAUGAAUGAUUUCUAAGUAUUUAUAAGUAGUUUAGAGUGAUUAGAAUCAAAGGGAGUGAAAAUACACUUAAAAAGGACGCAAAUGGGACAACCGGCGGAAAAAGAGUGGGGGCAGGCGACCCUGGCGCGUUCCGGGCGUGGGGCACCAGCCCCUAACUUCAGAGACUGCAUAUGGGCGCACUGCAGGGGCGCCAUCCCAGCCCCUUGGGCGCACCUGGGGCACGCCGCCCCAGCCUUUCCCCAGGCCAAGUUCGACGAAUUUUGCCUCUCGUUUUCUGAUCCAAAAUCACUUUUAAUCGAUUUCUUUCUCAAGUUUUCCUUAGAUUCAAUAACCCAACCUAAGUACACACUAAUCCACUCAAAACAAUCACUUUUCAUCUCAAGAAAUCAUCAAAACCCCAACAAAACAAAAUUUUAGAAUGAACUUCAAGAACACCUAUCAAGAACUUAAAUCCUUCAACUUUUGAGAAUGAAAUUACGCUGAAAAUAACAUGUUUGGUGUGUGGGUGAACUAAUCCAACACUAUGUAAGCUUACAUACCUCUUAGGGAUCAACCCCAUGGCAACAAUCCGCAACAACUCUCAAGAAUUUCGACGAAUGCUUCGAACCUUUCUCUUUUCUCCUCUUCUUUUCUCUUCUUGAACUCUCAAUUAAAACCCUAGGCAUAAACUAGGAUUAUAAAACUGAAACUAAUCAUAUUAGACCCCUAAAAUAUUACUAAAAACAAGUUAAAUCUGAAUUGGGUAAAGGAAAAGACCAAAAUACCCCUCUAAAAUCCGGUUUUGACUUUCCUUAUCUAGACACGGCAACAUCGAAUGGACAUAUCUCCCUCAUACGAUAUCAAAAUUGAGAAAGCUUGGUGGCGUUGGAAAGAUAAUUCAAAGAUCUUCCCUACGGUAUCUAGUAUCAUACCUAACUUAUCUUGAGCUAGAAGUUAUGGUCAUUUGAAGUCGACCCAAAACUCAUACUUAGCUUAACUUGCAAAAUUUCAAAUUUAAUUCUUUUUGAAACUCAAGGUGCUACGUCUAGUGACCUUAACACUCAAGAAAUUUUAAAUUCCUUGCAAAAAUCUCACUCACUACAAAGAAGGGUUCGAGUCUUAGUUCAAAAAAUUUCUGGGGUGUUACACUAACUACUUGGUGGUGCUAUUUCCUGAAAAAGCAAAAAGCAAAGUUGCACAGCUCUUUCAACUAUGGAAUCUGAAUUUGUGGCUUGUGCAUAUGCAGUACAAGAAGUUGUUAAGUUAAAGAGAUUUUUUAAGCAUUUGAGUAUUGUAAAGAACUCUAAGGAUCCCAUGUAUCUAUAUUAUGAUAGCCAAGCGGCUAUCACAUACACGAAAUGUAACAUCCCGCCUUAGAAAGAGCUAAAUUUAGAAAGAACUAAUUUGGAAAGAGCCAAAUUUAGAAUUUUUUAACUUAUGCUUAAGUUGUAAGUUUUGUCAACUUCAAAUGGCCAAAACUUUCAGUACAGGAUGAUUUAGGUGGCCCAUAAUAUAUAAAAUAAAAGGUAUUUGAAUUCUCUUUCCACCUCCACCGAGUUUGUCAAAUUUCGAGUUAGAGUGAGGGAGAUAUGCCCGUUUGAAGUCAGUAUCUCCAGUUAAGGAAAGUUACCCGGAUUAAUGAGGGGUAUUUUUUUCAUUUCCUUAACCCAUCAGCUUAAAACAUGUUUAGUAAUAUUUUAGGGGUCUAAACUGAUUUGGGUCAGUUUUCACAAUCCUAAAUACGCUUAGGGUGUUGAGAGGAGUUCAAGAAGAGAAAAGAGAAGAGGUUCAAGGCGUUCGUCAAGAUUCGUGAGAUUUGUCGAGGAAUUACGCCAAAUUAAGGUAUGUAAGCUUUCAUAGUGAUGGGUUCGUUCACCCACAUGCCAAUCAUGACUUAUAUUAUCGAAUUCAUCCAUGUGAUUGAGUAUAUUGAGGUUCUUGAUGAAAUUCUUGAGGUGUUGUUCUUCGUUCUUGAAUUUUGAUGUUUGGUUGAGUUCUUGAGGCGAGGACCUUGUUAAUAAGAAUUAUUCUUGAGGGUUUUCGAGCAGAUUUUCAUGUAAAUAAGUUGAAUAAAUGAAUAUAAGAGGGUUGGGAAGAAACCAUUUGAUUCUAGGCGAAUUAGGGUCAGAAAACGAGAGAACAAAAUUCGUCGUGUUUUUCAGGCAGGGGCCGGCGCGCCACUUCAGCAAUGCGCCAAAAGUGACCCUGAGAAGUUUGAGGGCUGGCCAGGGUCACCUGCCCCAUCGUGUUUUCCAUCGUUUGACCCGUCUGAGUUCUUUUAAGGUGUAACUUUACUCUUUUAUGAUUCUAACUACUCUAAACUACAUCUAAAAAUUGAGAAAUCCUUCAUAACAUGAAUCAUAACCCUUGAAUUCAUAAUUCAAAUUCAAGGUAUAUUUAAGGGCAAAGUCUUGAGAGUUCUUUCGAGUCAUUUUGAGAAGUCUCUUACAAUAUUUUUUUAAAAUUUGUUUUAAGACUUGAGUACUUGAGUUUGAGGAUGAGGAAAGUUGAGUUUUAUUUUUCAAAAUGUGUAUAUGGGAAAUAAGUAUUCCCAAGAGUAAAUGUUUUACAUUUAAAAGGAGCGGAAACAUCGAUUUCCAAAUGAGUUCAUGAGGAGUUUCUUAGUAUAAUCUCUUUUAAGAGAACCUUUUAAGUAAUAAUCUCAAAGCUUGAGGAUGAGUAAAUUUUUUUAAGCAUAUGAGCUGAGAAUAUUUUUGGGAGUAGUAUUGAGCACCGAUAUGGGGACGAGUUCAUAUAACUCAACGUCCUCAUAAACCAUGUAGCCAACGCGGGUAGAAAGGGUCAUACUUUUUAGAUGAUUCCUUAUUGCCUUUUAAUCAUAGCUUAGUGGAUCCACUUAGUUGAGCAUGUCUUAUACUACGGCAAGGUAUAGGACAAUUCUGGCAACGUGGGCGAGACGUUGAAUCAUCACAUAGCUCAUAGUGAUGGUUGUCGAUUAGAGAAUCUCCCAAAUUGAGUUAUUUUGUAUUUUUACAUACAAACUGAGUUAUUAUUGUAUUUUUAAAUACAUUAAGUUGUUACAUAUUGUUUUAAAUCCUUUAUAUAAAUUUCAUCUUUAUUGUUGUUUUGAUACUACAUUGAGUUUAGUAUCCAUGAGUUGAGGUGAGUAUGUUUCCUUCUUUCCAAGUUCAAGCUUUUAUAUAAUGUUCGGUAUUUCCCCUUACAUGUUCGUACAUUCAAUAUGAUGAUGCCAUUUGGCAUGCAUCGUUUCAUGAUGCAGAUACUGGAGAUCAGGGUCAUCAACAGGCGUUUCGUUGAUAACAUAGCAGUUCGAGUUAGCUUUAGUGAGCUUUCUUGCUUCCGGAGGAUUCUUUUUUUAAUUUUCAUCUAUUUCAGUUUUGUUAGGAUGAUUGGGGGUCUUGUCCUGACAUCCCUCAUAGUAUUAUAGGCUUCAUAGAUAGACAGUAGUAUUUGAGGAGUCUUUCUUUCAUUUCUCUUAUUAAUGUUUUAAAGAUGGUGAGUUGAACACUUAUGUUCAUUUGAGUAUUUUGAGUUAACUACUUUAUUUAUGAGUUGAGUUGUUUGUGUAAUUCUAUUUCACCUGAGUAAAUCUUCUGCUGAGAGUUGAGCCAGGCCAAGGGUUCGCUUGAGGCCAACAAUGGUUCUGGGAUGGCGGCCACGUCUAAGGUAUAGGAUCGGGGCGUUACAAACUUGGUUCAAAAUGAAUAUAUGGGAAAUAAGUAUUCUCAAGAGUAAUUUUUUUACAUUUAAAAUGAGUGGAAACAUCGAUUUCAAAAUGAGUUCAUGAGGAGUUUUUGUGUAUAAUCUCUUUUAAGAGAACCUUUUGAGUAAUAAUCUCAAAGCUUGAGGAUGAGGAAAUUUUUUUUAAUGUAUGAGUUGAGUAUAUUUUUAGGAGUAGUAUUGAGCACCGAUAUGGGGAUGAGUUCAUAGAACUCAAAAUCCUCAUAAACCAUAUAGCCAACGUGGGUAGAACGGGUCAUACUUUUUAGAUGAUUCCUUAUUGCUUUUUAAGCAUAGCUUAGUGGAUCCACUUAGUUGAGGAUGUCUUAUACUCCGAAAAGGUAUAGGAAAGUUCAGGUAGCGUGGGCAAGACAAUGUAUCAUCACAUAGCUCAUAGUGAUGGUUGUCUGUUAGAGAAUCUCCCAAAUUGAGUUAUUUUGUAUCUUUACAUACAAAGUGAGUUAUUAUUGUAUUUUUAGAUAAAUUGAGUUGUUAUAUAUUAUUUUAAAUGAUUUAUAUAAACUGCAUAUUUAUUGUUGUUUUUAUGCUGCAUUGAGUUGAGUAUCCAUGAGUUGAGGUUGAGUUGAGUAGAGUUGAGGUGAGUAUGUUUCCUUCUUUAAAAGUUCAAGCUUUUAUGUUAUGUUCAGUAAUUCCCCUUACACGCUUGUACAUUCAAUGUACUGAUGCCAUUUGGUUGCAUCAUUUCAUCAUGCACAUACAGGAGAUCAGGGUCAUCAACAUGCGUUUUGUUGAUACCAUAGCAGUUCGAGUUAGCUUUGGUGAGCCUCCUUGCUUCCAGAGGAUCCAUUUUUUUAUUUUCAUCUAUUUCAGUUUUGUUAGGAUAAUCGGGGGUCUUGUCCCAACAUCCCUCAGAGUAUUAGAGGUUUCAUAGAUAGACAGUAGUAUUUGAGGAGUCUUUCUUUCAUUUCUUUUGUUUAAUGUUUUAAAGACUGCGAGUUAAACACUUAUGUUCAUUUGAGUAUUUUGAGUUAACUACUUUAUUUAUGAGUUAAGUUGAUUGUGUGAUUCUAUUUCACUUGAGUAAGUCUUCCGCUGCGAGUUGAGCCAGGCCAAGGGUUUGCUUGAGACCAUCAAUGGUUCUCAAGUGUCGGCCACGUCCAGUGUGUAGGCUCGGGGAAUGACAAACUUGGUUCAAAAUUAAUAUAUGGAACUAAGUAUUCCCAAGAGUAAAUGUUUUUACAUUUAAAAGGAGCGAAAACAUCGAUUUCCAAAUGAGUUCAUGAGGAGUUUUUUAGUAUAAUCUCUUUUAAGAGAACCUUUUGAGUAAUAAUCUCAAAGCUUGAGGAUGAGAAAAUGUUUUUAAACGUAUGAGCUGAGUAUAUUUUGGGAGUAGUAUUGAGCACCGAUAUGGGAACGAGUUCAGACACCUCAAAGUCCUCAUAAACCAUGUAGCCAAUGUGGGUAGAAAGGGUCAUACUUUUUAGAUGAUUCAUUAUUACUUUUUAAGCAUAUCUUAGUGGAUCCACUUAGUUGAGGAUGUCUUAUACUCCAGCAAGGUAUAGGAUAGUUGUAGCACCGUGGGUGAGACGUUGUAUCAUCAUAUACCUCAUAAUGAUGGUUGUCGGUUAGAGAAUCUCCCAAAUUGAGUUAUUUUGUAUCUUUACAUACAAACUGAGUUAUUAUUAUAUUUUUACAUACAUUGAGUUGUUAUAUAUUGUUUUAAAUGCUUUAUAUAAACUGCAUCUUUAUUGUUGUUUUUAUACGACAUUGAGUUGAGUAUCCAUGAGUUAAGUAGAGUUGAGUUUAGUAUGUUUCCUUCUUUCCAAGUUCAAGCUUUUAUGUCAUGUCUAGUAUUUCCCCUUACAUGCUAAUACAUUCAAUGUACUAAUGUCAUUUGGGCUACAUCGUUUCAUGAUACAAAUAUAGGCAAGCGAUUCGUUGAUAUCAUAGCAGUUCGAGUUAGCUUUGGUGAGCCUCCUUGCUUCUGGAGGAUCUCUUUUUUUUAUUUUCAUCUAUUUCAGUUUUUCUAGGAUGAUCGGGGGUCUUGUCUCGACAUCCCUCAGAGUAUUAGAGGCUUCAUAGAUAGACAGUAGUAUUUGAGGAGUUUUUAUUUCAUUUCUCUUGUUAAUGUUUUAAAGACUGUGAGUUGAACACUUAUGUUCAUUUGAGUAUUUUGAGUUAACUACUUUAUUUAUGAGUUGAGUUGUUUGUGUGAUUCUAUUUCACUUGAGUAAGUCUUCUGCUGAGAGUUGUGUCAGGCCAAGGGUUCGCUUGGGGCCAGCUAUGGUCCUCGAGUGCCAGUCACAUCUAGGGUGUAGGGCUCGAGGCGUGACACGAAAGAUCCUAAGUAUCACAGCAAGACCAAACAUAUUGACAUCAAAUAUAACUUUGUGAGAAUGUAGUGGCAAGUAGAGAAUUAACUUUACAAUACAUUCCUACACGUGAACUGAUAAUUGACCCUUUUAAGAAGGUCAUCUCUAGACACUUGUUUGAAAAACAUGUGAAGACUCUAGGUUUGUGUAGCAUUUGAUGAUAUUCCAGUAUUGUAAAAUAACUUAAUAGUUAUAAUAUUCUCUUCUAUAUAAUACUAUUGGAUUUAUAUUCAAAUAUAAUAUGCAUGUGAUAUUUUAUAAGAAAUAAAGUGUGUCGAACAAGUCAUGAGAUUAGCUCUCUCACACGAGCAAUCGCCUCUUACGUUGAGGAACCUGAAGAGAUAAGUUUCACCACCAUAUUAUGACUUGUUUUGUGAGCCAAACAAGAUUUUCUCUAAGAAAAUGAGUUUAAGGAUCAGUGAAGAGAGAAACUAGGGUUAAACACUUGGAGGUGUUUAGACCAAGGUCUAUACGAUGUUUUAUAAUUGAAAGAAUGAGUUGCAUACACCAGUAUAAAGUGCAAACAUCAUAGAAUGUGUUUCAUACCACGUGAGUCAAGCGAUCAAUGUGUCAAUGAAAUAAUGUUCCUUGCUUCUUCAUUGUGUGAGACCCUAAAAAGUUAAAAUGAAUUUUCAAUGAAAUACCAUUUGAUCUUUUGUUGUUUCUUGAAGUUUCAAUCGAUGUUGCUACUUUAGCAUGUUACUAAUAUUCAUGAAUGAUUUUUCAAUGCAGUGCAUGUCUAGGAAAGCAAUUGAAUAGGAAUAGAUAGAUUCGAGUAGAAAGUAAAGACAAUUAAUUGAAUAAUAAACUUAUAUACACAAGUCGGCUAUUGCACUAACCAUAUUGGUAUUGAGUGUAAUUGUGUGAAUAAAACUAAACAUGAACUAGAUUUAACCUCUUUAAGAGGAUGAGGGAUGGAAUAAAUAACUAGUGAAGCAGUGAAUGAAGUCUGGGGUAUUGUGAGUACUAAUAUUCUCAUAUAAGUAGUGAAUUCCUUCCACAUGUGAUUGCAUUCCUAUGUGGGGCUUAUAAAACCUUAAAGGUAAGUUCGAUGCUCACAAGUCGCAUAAACUAUUUGUCGUAUGAAUUGUGUGUCUAGUUGAUGUGGUUUUGGCUUGAGUUUUGUCCACCGUGUGCGAAGUGGGAGAUAUAAGUUUUGGGUCGUGGGCCGCCCAAGUGGACCGAUCUGACCCGACGUGACCCGAAGUUGUUGUUUGUAAAAUGGAUAACUGCUAAUUUAAAAUAGAUGAAGGAACAGUUACAUAGUAAUUUCUCCAACGUAAACAAUUCUUUUUUAAAAUAUAUGUUUUGCGCUCUUCAUAAAAGAGAUUAAAAACAAAAACAAAAUAGAAAGCUCAAUAAAAAUUAUCACGACCCGAGCCUACACCCUGGACGUGGCUGACACUUGAGAACCAUUACUGGUCCCCAAGAAAACCCUCAUCCUGGCUGACUAUAAGCGGAAGAAUAACUCGAGCAUAAGCAUCAAACUGAAAGAAACGUUUAAAAACAUUUUAUUGAAUCUCAAAAGUUCGUUGAAUAUACUGAGUAUGAAACAUAAGUUUUAAAUAAAAUAUCUGAAAUUGAAAGACUGUCCAAAACUGUCUAUCUAUGAAGCUUCUACUAUAUAUAGACGAGUGUCAGGACAAGACCUGCGACUACUCAAAAUGCUACUAAUAUUAACAACUCAUAAAACUGGAGUCCUCCGAAAGUAAGGAGACCUCACUCAAAGUUGACGAGCGGAUGAAGUGAUCUCAACAUACUCUUGUUGAGGAUCCUAAGAACAUGUAUCUGCAUCAUUAAAAUAUGUAGGUAGAAUCAUCAGUACAUUGAAUGUACGAGUAUAUAAUAUAGUUGAAUUAAUAACAAAUAACUGAAAGAAAGGACUGCAAUAGACAACAAUGUACUCAAGCUGAAUGUAAAGAAAUAAAGGAGUUAAAUCAUUUAAAUCUUUACAAAAUACUUUCUCAUCUUUGAACUCAACAUAAUAAGUGAUAUAUAAAAAUACACUUUAACUCUAUUGGGAGAUUUUCUAACCGACAAUCAUCACUAUGAGAUACGUGAUGAUGCAGCGUCUCGCCCACACUGCCAGAACUGUCUUAUACCUUGCCAGGGUGUAGAACAUCUCAACUAAGUGGAUCCACUACGCUCUGCCCGAAGGUACUAAGGAUUCAUCUAAAAAGUAUGAUCCUUAAUACGUGAUGAUGCAGCGUCUCGCCCACACUGCCAGAACUGUCUUAUACCUUGCCAGGGUGUAGAACAUCUCAACUAAGUGGAUCCACUACGCUCUGCCCGAAGGUACUAAGGAUUCAUCUAAAAAGUAUGAUCCUUUACCCAUGUUAACAUACAUGAUUUAUGAGAAUUUAAGUUGUCUGAACUCAUCCUCAUAUCAGUGCUCAAAAUUAAUCCCACUAAUACAUACUCAUGCUCAAUGUUUAAAAACAUACUCUUCCUCUGGUUUGAGAUAAUUGCUCAAACUAUCCUCUUAAAAGAGGUAACUGCUCAGAAAUAUCUCUGAACUCAUUAACUUAUUUAGAAAUCAAAGUUUUUCUUUUCUCAAUGUAAAAAUUGAUACCUUUGGGAAUACUUAGUUCCCUUAUACUCUUACUCAAUUCAUAUUUGAAAACUCUUUCUCAAAAUAUAUCAAAAUCAUAUUGUGAUAUGAUCAUUGAUGACUCGAAAAGUCAUACUGCAUAAACAUUGAUGGCAUAUCUAGAUACUAUACUGCUAUUUUCAUUAAUGGCAUACUCGACUGUCUUACUAAUCAUGUUUUAAAUAAACUCUUUCUCAAAACUCAUCUUUACUUCCUCAAAAACUCAGUUUAAAACUCAAGUGUUGGCUUUAAAAAGCUUCUCAAGAUUUAUAGCUCAAAAUAGGGUUCAUGUUGAAUUAUAGACAUGAACAAAUCAAAUCAAAUAUCUCAAAAAUAUAUAGCAAUUCAAUAAUUAGGAAUAUAAUUUCAAAAAGAAUCAGGAACUUAAGAACUCAAAAUCAACUCAUCUCAUGAAUACUAAAAUCUAGGGGUAGAAUUCUAGAUUUCUCUUUUACUGAUUUGAAAGUAAAUGUAGGGCAUGAGGACGAACUAGUACAGCACUAUGAUAGCCUUACAUACCUGGAAGAACAAGGUUCUUGAAGAAUCUUGAAGAAAAACUUGAUUAGAAGCCUUGAAACCCUAGCUUGAAGGAGAACAAUCAAGAAAACCUUUCUUGAGAUUCUUGAAUUAGUUUCUUGAAAUCUCUAUAGCCAAGAAUUAUGAUUUUCAUUAGUGAUUCAUAAUUGUAUGGAGGAAUUUUAGUUGGAAAGAAUGGAAUUCUUGGAGAAAGACUUACCUUGAAGAAAAAUCUUGAAAAAGAUGGAAAGAAUCUUGAAUGGAGUGUUCUACUUGAUUUUCCUUAGGGUUUUGCCUUAGGGUUAGAGAGAGAAGAGAAUGAUGAAUUAAGAGAUGAAAAUCUGAUUGUUUUGAGUCUUUAAUUAGUAAAGAAAUUCGUUUAGGGUUUUCUUAGAGGUAAAAAGACAAAAACGAUGCUUUUUAAUGUUUUCCUAUCGGCUAAUUCGUCACUGCACUGUAUCAGCUUACUAAAAUGGUCAUAAAUUUUUCCUCAAAACUCGGAUUAUUGAAAACUUGGUGGCGUUGGAAAGAAGAUUCAAAUACCUUUAAUUUGAUAGCUUAUAGUCCACGUAACUCUUUAUAUUCUAAGAUAUAUGGUCAUUUGAAGUUGACCCAAGAAAAAUCUCAUUCUGAAACUCAAUUGGAAGGAAAGUUUUCAACUCAACUUUAUGCUAGAGAAUUUUAGUGACCUUAACAUCUAAGAAAAUUUAGAAUCACUCGGUGAAAUCUUAUUCACAAAUAAAGAAUGGCUCGAAUCUUAUCUUAAAAUAUUUUGGGAUGUUACAAAAAUGUGACAUCUGCUUCUAAGAAAAAGGCAUCCAUCAAAAUGGGUAUUUAGUUUGUGAAGCACUAUCUUUGCUUCCUAGUGAUACAAAGAAGGAUCUAGAGCAAGUCAUUCCGUUCGUAAAAUUCAUUCAUUGCAACAAUCAAAUGUACACAAAUCUUGUACCAAAAUAUUGUUUAAAUCUAUCAAUAUGACUACUCCAUGUUAUAUUACCUAUAAAAGGGCAUUGAAAUGAUAAUGAAAAGAUACACCCAAAAAUAGUUACUACUCUUAUUUCUACUGUCUAUUUUUCUUUGAUCUCUUCAUAUGAUUUUGGUAUUCUGUCUUUAUUUUAUAACACGUUAUCAACACGCAUCUCUUCAUCUACGAGCAUAUCCGACAGUGUAUUAGCCCAAACAUAAAUAGUAUAGAGUAUAUUCUAUUUUGUUGUAUAAGUCUACUAAUACUUGAUAGUCUAAAUUUGAUGUGUCUAAUGUAAUUAUCGUUAAUAUAUCAUGGAUUUUUUAGCUAAAUAUUGAAAGUAUAAUUAGUGCAUACUUAAUUGAUAACCUUGUUGGAAGAAUUGAACUCACCGAAAUCAUUAGAAGACUAAACGUGCAUAACAUAAAUUUUUAAUUUGGUUGAUACCUUGUUGUGGUUAUCACCUAGUAAUACAUAGUUACUUUUAAAUGAGAUAUAUGUAGUUAAUUUAAGGAAUGCAUAUCAAAAUAAAAAAUAAAAAAAGGUAUUCAAAUUUCUUAUGCCGACUUACAUUAACUUUGAUCGGCAUCAUUGAUUAUUUUUACACUUGUUUAUCUUUCACUAGCUAAUCAUUUACUUCUUGAAUUAUUAUAAUAUGUUAUAUGUACUAACAUAACUUGUUUUAUAGUUGCUUUAAAAAGGUAAGCAAAUUGAUAUUUGAGGAGUAUUUUAUUUUCUUUUGGAAUCAUCAAAAGCAUUUUUCUGUCACGAAGGAUUCUUGAAGAGGCAAUGAUAUGUCAUUUAGGUUGGCAAUUAACAAAUUUGUCAAUGGUAAGUCAAUGGUAUAUUUUUGCUUUAUGGUAAGCUUCCUUCAUAAUAAUAAUUACAUUAAUUUUGAUUUGUAUGUAUCUACAAAAAGAGUAUGUUAAUUUCUGGAAUCUAUAAAAUAUAUGCUAACAUAAAACCUACAUGUUGUUGAGACUAUUUGACAUAUAGACUUUAUUAUGUCCAUUUAUCAAGUUUUUAUUUAAUUUUUGAAUUCUGAGGUAUCAUUUUAUUUAUUGUGAUGAUUAGUGUUUACCUCUAGUUGCUUUAUCUUCGAAUUACAAUUGAAGAAAGAAAUUUUCUUAACUAGCAAUAAAUGAAGUUAAUGUUGAAAAUUAUAGACAUAAUACAUAAACAUGACCCUUAACUUGGCUUCAGCGGACAACUAUGCCCUCCAACUUUGAGUAUGCACAAGUAGACACUUAAACUUGUAUAAAAUUGAAUAAGUAGGCACAUGUGUCCUACAUGACAUAAUACAUGUAGGACGCCACGUAGGACACAAAAUUUCCAUGUAGGGUGUCAUGUAGGACGGAUGUGUCUAUUUGUUCAAUUUUAUACAAGUUUAAGCGCCUACUUGUGCACAUCCAAAGUUAAAGGUCAUAGUUGUCAGCUGACGUCAAGUUAAGGUCAUGUUUAUGUAUUAUGCCAAAAUUAAUUUGUUGAUCUUUCAAUAAGUGAAUUAUUCAUAAAACUUUUAAGUUGAAAACUAGUAUUCGGAGCCACCUAUGAGGAUCAACUUUGUUUUGUUUAGCAAUGAUAAUAAUUACAUAUGAUCUUUUGAAGUGUUAUUAUGACUAAACUUAUUUGUGCUAUUACUAACAAAGUGACGAUAUUUUAAAGGCUCAAGGGUGAAUUUUAUUUUGGAUUGUAUAUAAUGUCAUUGAUUGAGGUUAAGAUGGUGGAUUCAAGUUUCAUCUCACCAAAAGGGCAAGACGUCGUUUAAAGUCUCGAUGCACCAUGAUGAUAAGAUUUUGGGUUCAAGUCCCACUAAAUAUGGCCAACAAGCCUUCUGAUAGAAAAAGCAUUUGGUUCAAAUUCCAAUGAAAUAUAUUAUUGAUAUAAUGAUGAAUGAGCAAACUAAUGCGCUCUUGAUGAAAAAUUAUUGGGCACGCGAUAAAUUUGAAUGAGCAAACACAUAAUUUUUCUCCAUUCUCUAAAAUGAAUGUGGUAGCAGUACAUGAUAAAUUUGAAAGAUGGCAAAAUCACUAUUGUGAUUGUAUAAAUAAAUAUGAGUGUGUCAAAGGACAAAACAUAGUCAUCAUUGUGUUACUUAUAAAAGAAAGAACAUUUUGAGUUCUCAAAAUGGUCCUUCAAAGAGUGGAGAAAAUUUUUGUCAUCAAAUUUGGUAUGAAAAGUAUUGGGCACGUGAAUACCGUGCAAACUAAUUUGAUUUUAUAAAUCCUCCAUCAAAAUAAAGAAAUAUAACGUGAAGGUGCACUUGACCUUUCAAAGGUGAUGUCGAGAUAUGUCAUAUAAAUAUUAUAAAUUUCAAAGCAUGGCAAUGAACUUCUAAUGAAAAGAAUCACUAUGAAGCAUGUAUAUAUGAUUAUAGUCAAUUCCUUGAAGAGAAUAUGUCUUGUGAUAAGUAUCAUGAAAACUGGACCAUUCUUGAAAGUGAAUGUGCAAGAGAUGAUGAAAACUAUAAAUAAGGACAUACUCAUGUAUGAUUUAAUAAAUACCACAACUCGCCCCUAUGGUAGAUUAGAGAGAAAUAAAGAAAUUUCAUUUUGGUAUAAAUGGUCACUGGUCAAGUAUUUUUAGUACAUCACAAAUAUUGUGAUACGUUUUAUUAUGAACUACCGAAAGAGCAAAAGAAGAAAAUAAUUCUUGGCCACAAAAAUUUGUCAUUAGUUAUAUAUCUAUGUACGUCAAAAUUAUUUUGUCAGAUAUUAAAUAAAAAGGGAGGAGAUACUAAUGACAAAAGUAAAUCAAGAAACAAGUUUUGCUUGUAAUGAUUUUGACCAUGACAAUAACGAUAUAAAUUUCUCCUUGAAAGAGAUGUUAACCACAAAAAUAAUGUUAUGAAAUAUGUGGUAGUAUCCAGUGUUAAUUGUGAGUUUUGGUGAACUAAUGUGCUACUACCCAAAGAAAUAAAAUUGAUCAUGAUAUUGAAAUUGUAGUAAGUCUCGAAAAAAACUUUUUAAGUUUCAAAGAAAUAGCAAAAAAAAAAAUUAUAAUGUAAAUAUAAAAUAUGGAAAGAUUUAAGAUCUUCAUAUAAUCAAAGUGAGUUAUAAAUAUUUACUUGAAAUAUUACCCAUGUUUUCAUGUUGUUUGUGGUAACUAAAUAUGGCAUGAUGAUGGAAUCACAUGCAAAAUAAAUUAGAAGUUUAUUAAAUAAAUAUCGGUUCAACUAUGAUAUGAAAAUAAAUGAGAAUUCAUGUGGUUUUAUAUAUAUAUAUUGAAGAAAUAUAAAUUCUUCAAGAAUUCUCUUGUGUUGUUUGUUCUCAUGAUAAAAUUAUCAUUGCACUAGCAAAAGUUGAGAUUGUAUCUCCUAAAAUUUUGAAAUGUAUAAAAAGGUGAAUAUGGAUCCGUUCACCCGUCAUGUGGACCAUUUACUAUUAUAGAUGCAUCUAUAUUAUGGUCACAUGUGCUUUAUUAUCAACUUGCAAUUUGAUUUUUGCAAAAGAUUGCUUGCUCGAAUUGUUAAAUCAAGAGCACAUUUCAAAUUAUAAAAUUAUAUUGAUGAUGUUGGUUUAUAUCCAAGUUGUUUAAGCAUAAAUUAUAUGCCUCCAAUUAUAACUAAACCAUUGGUUAUGAGAACAAAACUCCCAAAAGAAAUUUGGUAUGAGAUGUGUUAUUGUAAGUGUAGCAACACUUAUACGUAUCAAGUCAACAAGAUUCCCCUAUCACAGUUGGUUCAGGGUCAGGAAUCAAAUAAUUCUCAUCUAGAAAUUUAAAUGUGUGGUAUAUUAUUUCAUUACUCCCCUAUUACGCAAUGCACAAAGAUGACUCCCCAAAUAAGGUUGGGUGAAUGUUAGAUUCUCUAAUAUUAGGGGGAGCUAAGCAAUUGGAAAAUAAGUUAUAUAUAAUGAAUUAUCAUUGGUAUGAUCCUCAUUGAAGAGAUAAUUUAAGUCAAUUGUCAAACACAUUCGUUGACCCUAUGUUAUAAUUCAGUUAUAAAUGCUCUAAUGAAAAGUCUUUAAAGAACAUAAAUUUAUGACACACCUGAAGCGUGAUAGAUUAAUCGAUUCGAAAGAUAAAACUUCUUGAAGAAGAAAAAGAGCAAAUGAUCAAGAUGUUCAUAAUAAUGAGGUGGGUGCUUUAGAAAGAGCACUAUGACAUAACACUUCAUAAAACUUUGCCAAAGAUUCAGGUACCUGAAAAUGAUAAAAUAAAGAGAGCUCGACAAAUUAUGUCGUAUCAGAAACGAUAUCAAAUAAAACGUUGACGAUAUUUUUAAUGUAAUAUAGCGCUCAAAAUUAUAAAUGGUGAUGAGGAUCUUGACAUUAAAUCUGUCGAGAGUUGACAGAUAAAUGAUUGGCCAAAGAAAAUACAAUUCAAGUAUAUUUUAUUUCACUUGAAAAAGUGAUGUUUUUGACUUAUUUUAUCCAUAUAUCAAAAUAUAAUGUCAGUGGGCUACAAAUGAAUUAUUGUGCGAUAAGUAAAAUCGUAAAAUAUAAAGUACGGCUUGUGCAUUAAAAUAUAAAGAUUUUUCACAAAAGUCUUGACACUAUUGUGUGGAGAUGUAUUUUUUUUAAAAAAAAACUAGUAAGUUUAAUGGAGAUGUAUUCUCCUAAGGUGGAUGCAAUGAGGUUUCUAUCAGUUUGACAAUAUAUGAAAAACUUGAAUACGCAUGAUGAAUGAUUAUCAUGUCUAGUUAGACAGUAAAUAUUAUAUGAAAAAUCAUGAAGGAUUUAAAAGGUUUUAACGCGAUUCCAUUAAUAGUACCCCAAUAGUUGUGAGAUCGCUUAACAUAAAGAUCAAUUUCAAUCUCAUUAAAAUGAUUACAAAAUACCAUGUCAUAGUGCGAUUGGUGCACUUAUGUAUCCUGCUAUUAUUAUUCAUAGUAUAAUAAAAUUUUAUUAAUAUGCAUGCAAAAUAUAACAUCACUUUUAUUAAAUGGAGAUAUUAGAGUGAAUCAAAUAUUGAUACAAAUUAUUUAUUUUGAUAAAUCAUGUCAAGGUUUAUUGAUUAUGAAAUUACAAAAAAUUAUUUGGUUUAUAUGAAGUUUGAUCUCAAGAAAGUUAUUCAUUUUUAUUUGGAAAUACUGUCAUAUCAAAUCAUUCCACAAGAGAGAUAAUUUUAUUGAAAGUGUCUGUUAGGGGUGUAACAAAAUCGAACCGAAAACCGAAUCAAAUCGCAAAUCGAGUCAAACCGGGAAAAAAAACCCGACUAGUGGUUUGGUUUGACUUGAUUUGGUAUUGGAAAAAAAAAACUCAACUAUAUUUGGGUUGAUUUGAUUUUAACUAAAAAAAACAACCCGAGACCAAACCAACCCGACAUUAUAUAUCUAAUUUUAAAAUUUUAUUUUAUACAUAAAAAUAUUUACUUUGAUAUAAUUUUAAAAUAUUUCUUAUACUAUUUCAUAGUUUUUAUCUUUUAAUAUAUUAUUUCAAGUUUAAAACUUAGAAUUCAGAAUGGUCCAAUAAAGAUUAUAGUUCAUAGAUGUUGAUAAUUAUAAUAAAACUUAAAUCAAAAUCAAAUNNNNNNNNNNNNNNNNNNNNNNNNNNNNNNNNNNNNNNNNNNNNNNNNNNNNNNNNNNNNNNNNNNNNNNNNNNNNNNNNNNNNNNNNNNNNNNNNNNNNNNNNNNNNNNNNNNNNNNNNNNNNNNNNNNNNNNNNNNNNNNNNNNNNNNNNNNNNNNNNNNNNNNNNNNNNNNNNNNNNNNNNNNNNNNNNNNNNNNNNNNNNNNNNNNNNNNNNNNNNNNNNNNNNNNNNNNNNNNNNNNNNNNNNNNNNNNNNNNNNNNNNNNNNNNNNNNNNNNNNNNNNNNNNNNNNNNNNNNNNNNNNNNNNNNNGGUUUUACAUUGGUUUAGACAAUUCAAAUACAUAAUCUAAUUUUAAUUUCCUUUAAUAUUUAGUCAUGUAACUAAUACUUAUUAAACUUAUUUUAGCAUGAUUUAGUACUUUUAAAUUAUGAUCAUUUUCAUUAUGACUUUGCAAUAUUUAUUUUAUAUGAUGAUUUCAUUAUUAUUUUUUAUUGAAUAUUUUAGUGUCAUCAGUACUCAUCUCAUAUUUUGUGUUAUUUUCUUAAGAAACACCUUAGAUAAUUGUAUUUUGGUUGGACUAAAGAAAUAUUUGGAGCACAAGUUAAUUGUAUGUUUGUAUGCAAACUUUACCGAAAAAAUCCAAAAAUCUGAGGUUUAUUAGUUUGGUUUGAUUUAUAAAUUUAAAAAUUCGACACAAUAGUUUGGUUUGGUAAUUGAAAAACUCGAACCAGCCCGAGGUUGGAAAAUCCGAAAAAAUCCAAAUUUUAUUAGUUUGGUUUGGUUUAUAAAUUUAAAAAUUUUACACAAAUGGUUUGGUUUGAUAUUUGAAAAACCCGAACCAACCCGAUCAUGUACACCCUUAGUGUUCGUCAAUACUUGGUUGUUGCUACUAACAAGUCAAACAAGCAAUUUGUCUACGGCGACAAGAUCACGAACCGAAUGAUUGCCAAGAAUGUAUUUGAUGAAUAUCAAUAACUCAACACAUCCAUAAAAUAUAUGACAUUUCUUUGAAAAGAGAUAUUCCAACAACAUUAUAUGAGGCAUUGAUGCAUGUAUAGCUCAACAAAGAGGAGAACACAUCAAAGAAGACUGAACAAAAUAUAUUUUCAUCAAAGUUUUCCUUCUUAUUCAUUAUCUUCAAAAGAAGGAUGUAGCUUGUGUUUAACACUUCGUAUUCACCCAGGCAUUAUCAACUUCAACCUUUGAGAAGCCGAGAUAUAAGAUUGAAAUGUGUCAUCUUCGAAUUGCUAAGUGAUGUUUUAAUCAGGAGGAGUAUAAUACGCGUUGCGCUCUUUUUUCUUUAGCCGAGGUUUUUUCUCACCAGAUUUUUCUAGUAAGGUUUUUAAUGAGGCAGCUACCAAUGUGUAUUACAAAUUACAAGAUAUGUGUACGUUUUUUCCUUCACUAGUAUUUUUCCUAGUAAGGUUUUAACUAGGCACAUUGUAAAUCAAGACAUGAACAUUCAAAGAAAGAAUUACGAACGAAUAUAUAUACUUGAACUUUUACUAAAUUUGUGCGCUUACAUAGACAUCCAAGGGAGAGUGUUGUAAAUAAUUUAUUUGUGGAUGUCAAGUGAUAACACCACCUUGCUAUUAUAGCAAUAUGUAUUUGUGGUGAUAACAUCACCAUGCUACUAUAGCAAUAUGACUACUCCUAGUCAUAUUGCCUAUAAAAGGGUAUUGAAAUGAUAAUGAAAAGAUACACCCAAAAAUAGUUAGUACUCAUAUUUCUACUUUCUAUUUUCCUUUGCUCUCUUCAUAUGAUUUUAGUAUUUUGACUUUAUUUUAUAACAGAUUCUUGUUUAUUUUUUCUAUCAAAUUUUUGCUAUUCUUCAAAGCAAAAGCUACUCCAAAAUUAUCUUCAUCAAAGAUUCCUCUGGGAUCAGACUUUAUUUACUCAUAUUCUUAUUUAUAUUUAUUUACUUUGAUUCAUUCGAUCAUUAUUUCAGUCAAUUCAAUCCAUAUGUUCUCUAAAUUACUCUUUUUCCUUCAUUAGGAUUUUUUUUGUUGGGUUUUUCCUAGUAAGGUUUUAACGAGGCACAUUAUAAAUCAAACAUCCAAAGAAAGAAUUAAACGAAUAUGUAUACUUGAACUUUACUAAAUUUGUGCACUUACAUGGACAUCCAAGGGAGAGUGUUGUAAAUAAUUUAUUUGUGGAUGUCAAGUGAUAACAUCACCUUGCUACUAUAGCAAUAUGUAUUUGUGGAUGUUAUGCGAUAACAUCACCAUGCUACUAUAGCAAUAUGACUACUCCUAGUCAUAUUGCCUAUAAAAGGGUAUUAAAAUGAUAAUGAAAAGAUGCACCAAAAAAUAGUUUCUACUAUUAUUUCUACUUUCUAUUUUCCUUUGCUCUCUUCAUAUGAUUUUAGUAUUUUUAACUUUAUUUUAUAACAGUAUUCUUGUUUAUUUUUUCUAUCAAAUUUUUGCUAUUCUUCAAAGCAAAAGCUACUCCAAAAUUAUCUUCAUCAAAGAUUCCUCCGGGAUCAGACUUUAUUUACUCAUAUUCUUAUUUAUAUUUAUUUACUUUGAUUCAUUCAAUCACAUGUUCUUUAAAUUACGUUACAAAUUCAACUAUACCUAUUUAGGGUAAACAGUUUGACGUCAUCGUGAGGCUAAGGACAAAUUACGAUAUUAUAAUGAUUCUGAUUGUUCAUUGCUAAAUAUUUUGCAUUUGUGAAGCUGAAGAAUCAACUGAUUAAAUGGCUCAGCAGAUAUUAUGGGGAGACCAAUGUCAACAACAACUCGCUCUUGCAUGAUCCCAACGAUCACGAAGUUGAUCUGGUGAAUAGAGAAACCUCAACAUUUUGGGAAAUUCACAUUUCGUCUCAACAUUCCAGAAGGGACCUCAGUCAAAACAAUGAUCAGAACACGGCUAGGCAAGUCCUAAAGAAGAGCAAGUGCAAGUUGGACCUGCUGUUCAAACAAACAGUACCUUCCGUCUAUGCUCCUUGUUCCGGUGGUAACAUAACAAUUGUAUAGUAUAUUAUUUCACAAUACAAAAUUGAUAAAAUUAUUUGAUUUUUCAAAAAUAAAAUCAAUUGGAGCAAGAACAACCUCCAGAGUACUAGAGGUUUGUUUGAAGGAUCCUCAAAAGACUACAAAAUAAUAGGGACAAUGCUGAGGAAUCAAUGGUCACAGCGAAAACUGAGCAAAGUUAACUUGAGGUUAGCCUGGCAAUUGCCACUAUCCUAUCAGCUUCUUUCAACCCCCUAUAUACACCGGCGAAUAUUCAGAUUGUACAAAGGCCAAGAAGCUCACCAGAGAUAAAAUGAAAACAUCUCUUACUUUCUUAGACGUUUUGUUUGUUGGCUAAAAGGAGUAAAGGGAAAACUGGUUCAUGACCUUUGGAUGCAAUUCUCUUUCCUUAGCAAAAUUACUAAAGGAAUCACGUCUACUGUAAACUUGCUGUUGUCACAUGCCCAGACUUAAUUACUACAAGUUAUAAUAGUAGCAUCUCUUAAAGCAGGCAGAAUAUUUCUAGCUUGAAUUGAAUCUCUAUUUCUGUUUUCUUUCCUUCCCAACUUAAGUUGUAAAAUUUCCGCUAAAGUUGGUUCUUACCAAACAAAGACAACUAUAACCAACCAAAUUCCAUGUGGAAAACUAUGAUCUUCUAUGUCAAUCCUAAUGGAUCAACCUGCCGCAGUACAUACACCACUGUUGCUAUCAUUUUUGUGUUUGCGCACAAACUCAGCACACUGUUCCAUUACUCCUUGCUUGAUCAUAUACCCUGAUGACUUUACGAAGUCGACCUAAGAUAAAAUGCUGAGCAGAGACAACAGUAGAGAAGGAAAUGGAAACAUGAGACAAAUAAGUUUAGCAACCAUCAAAGCAUAACAGAAAUCCUGUCACAAAUCCUCAUCAACCAGUAUUAACCUGUAAACCAAUUUAAAUCACCCCCAAAUAUAAACUUCAAAGAGAAAAAAUAUUUUUUAUCCAAACUCUAACUAAAUGGCACAAUCAACUAUAGUUCAGCUAACUGAUUGCUCAUGAUUCCCAUAGCCAUUGGAGGAUGCCCCAUGAGCUGCUCCAGCACCAUACAUGGAAUCUUGACUUUGCGAUGCGCCAUACCCAUAACCACCAUAAUUCUGCCUUCCAUAAUAACCCCCAUUCCAUUGACUACCAGAGUCGGUUCUAAA